rnacentral:lncRNA from 1 species
UUGAUCAGAUACCAUUCUUUGAUACCCCACUGCACAUAGCUGCAGAUGCGGGGCACACUGAUUUUGCCAUGGAGAUCAUGAACUUGAAGCCAUCACUAGCUUUAAAGUUGAACCAUGAUGGCUUUAGCCCUAUUCAACUUGCCUUGCAAAAUGGACGGUCCUUGAUCUCCCGGUAGUGGAUAAAGAUCUUGAUCGUGUAAAAGGAAAGGAGGGUAAAACUGCGUUGCACCACGUAGUUGGAGAAGCAGAUCUUAGGCUUCUACUCACAUUUCUCUUGUGUUGUCCUGAAUGUAUCAGAGAUGGGACAAAUCAAAAUGAGAUUGCUUUGCACAUUGCAGCGCAAAGAACCUACUGGAAGCUCUUCAAAUUCUAGUAGGUUGGCUUCGGAGGACACACCACAAAGAUGGAAAAUUAUGGGAAAAAGAAGUCCUCUAUUGGAAGAACAUGCUGUUGAAAGAUGAUUGAAACUUGGAUUGAAGUGUUUUGAAGGAAAGCUCGAUUGAUGCAUUGGAGUUUAAAGUUAGUUGUCUUAGCUGUCAAUGAAACGAAUCGUUUUGAUUUGUAUAAAGCUUUGGUUUGGUUAAACAACUAGUCAAGGUGUCGUUUUUUCAUGUUUAGUUGAAUCAUUUAGACAAAUGUCGUUUUAGUGUUUCUUCUUCAAUUGGUUGUUAACUUUCCAAAGACUUCAGUUCAGUUUUCUGUUAAUCUAUUGUUAGAUUCUUUAACAAACCCGAUUCUUGAGGAUUAGUUAGUUGUGUGAGUAAUUGUUGUAUAAAUACCAAGACUGUAUUAAGAAUCUUGGUGUGAAUGAAAAAAACCAAUUUGUAGUUUUUUUUUUUUUCUCUGUUCAAUUCUUUCUCUGUUUUAGUAUUCAAGAAAUACUUCUGAGUUUUCACAACAUGGUAUCAAAGCGAUUAAGUUCUCGAGGGACCAAAACCAUUCUGUUUUUUUAGUUGGUCUUCAGUAAUUUGCUGCUUUAAUCAGUGUUGAUUGAGUCAUGGCUUCAUCCAGUUAUAAUGCCUUAGCUCCCCCAAUUUUCUCAGGAGAAAAUUACACAAUUUGGUUAGUCAAAAUGAAGACGUUUCUCAGAGCUUUUGAUCUUUGGGAAGUGAUUGAAGUUGGAGGAGAAACUCUAGUCUAAAGGCACGCAAAUCUUACUCUUGCUCAAAUAAAGCAGCACAGUGAGGAAGUGGCUAAGAGGUAUCAAACACUUUUUUCUUUACAUUCUGCAGCUUUUGAUUCUCUCUUUAUCAUAAUUUUGACCUGUGAUAAUCCUAAAGAUGCUUGGGAUAAGAUUAAGGAAGAAUUUGAGGGUAGUGAUAGAACAAGGUAGAUUUAGAUAUUAAACUUGUUGAGAGAGUUUGAGGUUUUGAGAAUGAGAGAAGAUGAGGGUAUUAAGGACUAUAUAAGCAAGGUUAUGAAAGUGGUGAAUUGGUUGAGGUUGCUGGGAGGGGAUUUCAAUGAAAAAAGGGUAGUAAACAAAAUUUUAGUUAGUCUUCCUAAAAAAUUUGAGACAAAAAUAUCUUCAUUAGUGGAUUCCAAAGACUUGUCUCAAAUUUCAACAAUAGAACUUACAAAUGCACUAUUAGCUCAAGAACAAAGGAGAGCUAUUAGGAUUGAUGAUUCAGUUGAGAAUGCUUUAGUGGCUAGAACUAAGGAUAUGAAUGGCAAACAGGGCAAAGGAGAUAAAUAUCCACCUUGUCCAUAUUGCAAGAAGAAAAAUCAUACAAGUAAUUACUGCUAGUAUCAACCUAAUGUCAAAUGUAGGUCUUGUAAUCAAAUGGGACAUGUGGAAAAGGUAUGUAAAGCAAAGAAGGUUGUUGUUGAAGAGAAAACAGCAAUAGUUGAAAAUGAAGAUGAGAAUGAAGAGCUGUUGGUCAUGGCCAGGACAGAUGCUGACCCAUUAUCCAAUAAUAUUUGGCUUAUAGAUAAUGGAUGUUCUAAUCAUCUCAGUUGAAAUAAAAAAACUGUUUUCUGAGCUAGACAGGAGCUUUAACACUCGGAUAAAGAUACGUAAUGGAGUCUAUUUGGAGGUUCUAGGCAUUGGAACAGUGUCAGUUGAGACUCCCACAGGAGUGAAAUAUAUUACUGGUGUCCAUUAUGUUCCUGAAGUUGACCAGAAUCUACUUAGUGUAGGAAAGCUAACCAGGAGUCAUUAUGCACUGUUGUUCAAAGACCAAUAUUACACCAUACAUGAUCCUACAGGUGCAGAGAUGAUUACUGUAGAAAUGAAGAAUAAUUGUUAUCCAUUAAAUUUGAUGAAUGCUAAUCAAGUAGCCUUUUACUGUGAAAUGGAUACUUCUGAGCUUUGGCACAAAAGAUUGGGACAUGUGAACUAUGGUUCACUGGCAAAGAUGCUACAGAUGAUCUAGUUGACGGUCUACCAGCUAUAAAAAAUCCUGAUAAAGUUGGUGAUAUAUGUCAGUUUAGCAAGAUGAAAAGGAAAUCUUUUCCAAAGGAGAGCUAGUCAAAAGUUGGAACUAAUACAUGUAGAUUCGAGUGGCCCCAUGAGAACUUUGUCAUUAAAUGGCAGCAAAUACUAUAUUUUGUUCAUUGAUGAUUAUACCAGAUAUUGUUGGGUGUAUUUUCUCAAAAAGAAGUCAAAUGCCUUAGUGAAUUUCUUAAAGUUUAAAGCAUUGUUGGAGAAUCAAUCAGAACAGAGUUAAAGACUUUAAGAAGUGACAAUGGUAUUGAAUACACUGCCUCUGAAUUUGAGAAAUUUCUGGCUAAGUUUGGUAUCCAGCAUCAAGUAACAGUCACAUACAGCCCUCAGCAGAAUGGAACUUCAAAAAGACAGAAUAGGACACUUGCUGAAAUGGGGAGAUGCUUAUUGUAUUAGAAGGAUAUGCCAAACAAGUUUUGGGUUGAAGCAGUUAACACUGCAAAUUAUAUACUUAACAGAACAGUGGCAAGGGUUCUAUCACAGAAGACACCUUAUGAAUUGUAGUAUGGCUUCAAACCCUCUGUGUCUGAUUCGAAGAUAUUUGGUUCAAUAUGCUAUGUAAAAGUCGCUGAUGAAAAAAGGACAAAGUUUGAUCCUAAAGCAAGUACUACUGUACUUAUUGGCUAUAGUGAAUUAGCCAAAGGUUAUAGGGUGUAUAAUAUGAAAUCAAACAAAGUGUUAAUAAGCAUGGAUGUAGUUGUAGAUGAAGGGCAAUAUUGAAACUGAGAAAAAAAUAGAAUUGAGGGAACAAAUCAAGAUGGUAAAAAGGAUAUUGAUCAAGUGUUUGUUGUUGCACUAUAUGUUGAUGAUAUGCUGAUCAUUGGUCCAAACAAGACUUAUCUAGAAGACUUCAAAGCACAAAUGUUAAAUGUGUUUGAAAUGAUAGAUUUGGGCCUUAUGUCAUAUAUUUUAGGGAUGAAGAUAUUGUAACUUACUGAUCAGAUUGUACUGCAUCAAUCAAAGUAUGUAAGAGAAUUGUUAAAGAAAUUUAGUAUGGAUUCAUGUAAGGCAGUUGAUAUUCCAUUUGCAGCUGGGAACAAGUUGGCCAAAGAAGAUGGAUUUGGACAAGCAGAUGUAGUGACUUACAGGAGUAUGGUUGGUUCUUUGCUGUACUUGUCAGCAACAAGACCUGUCAUAAUGUACUCUACAAGUCUCCUUUCAAGAUUUAUGCAGGCUCCAUCAACUUUGCAUUUCAUUGCAGUAAAAAGAAUUAUCAAGAAUGUGAAAGGCACACUGAAUUAUGGAUUGAGAUAUGAGAAGAAUGAGAAUAGUGAAUUACAUGGCUAUAGUGAUAGUGAUUGGGCAGGCUCUUUAGAAGACUCAAAGAGUACUAGAGGUUUUUGUUUAUCGUUUGGUAGUGGCGUUUUCUGCUGGAAUAAUAAGAAGCAAGAAGUCGUGGCUCAGUUUUCUACUGAAGCUGAGUAUAUAGCUACUGCAGCAGCAACUAAUCAUGUUGUGUGGUUGAGGAAAUUGUUAAAUGAUCUUGGUUUCAAGCAAGAAAAGGCCACCUUGAUUCAUGUAGAUAACAAGUCUGCCAUAGCAAUUGCCAAGAAUCCUGGACAGCAUGGUAGAGCAAAACACAUAAGAGUAAAACACCAUGCAAUCAGAGAACUAGUUAAAGAAGGUGAGAUUGAACGGAUGUACUGUCCAACAGAUAUACAGCUUGCAGACAUUUUCACAAAAGGAUUGCCCAAAGAAAAUUGAGUUUCUGAGAAGGAGAUUUGGUGUUUACCAGGCAUUCAAUCAUGGGUGUAUGUUGAAAGAUGAUUGAAACCUGGAUUGAAGCGUUUUGAAGGAAAGCUUGAUUGAUGCAUUAGAGUUUGAAACUUAGUUGUUUUAGCUGCAAAUGAAACAAAUCAUUUUGAUUUGUACAAAGCUUUGGUUUGGUUAAACGACUAGUCAAGGUGUCGUUUUUUCAUGUUUAGUUGAAACGUUUAGACAAAUGUCGUUUUAGUGUUUCUUCUUCAAUUGGUUGUUAACUUUCUAGAGACUUCGGUUCAGUUUUCUGUUAAUGUGUUGUUAGAUUCUUUAACAAACCCGAUUCUUGAGGAUUAGUUAGUUGUGUGAGUAAUUGUUGUAUAAAUACCAAGAUUGUAUUGAGAAUCUUGGUGUGAAUGAAAAAAACCAAUUUGCAUUUUAUUUUAUUUUUCUCUGUUCUACUAUUCAAGAAAUACUUCUGAGUUUUCACAACACAAGCAAGGGGAUGCUGUGUUGCAUGUUGCGGUAUCCAAUAAUCAACCGCAGGCACAAUCCCUUUUUUAAACUAAUUAUUGAAACAGACAUCUAAUUUUUUUUAUGCGUUUUAUUUGUUAAUUAAUUGUUUCCUCUAUUUAUCAUUUAAUCAUUUGUGCAGAUGGUAAAACUUUUAUUAGAAUGUGGGAUCGAUAAGAACGCCAAGAACUGGAGAGGGUUGACAGCAAUGGGAAUCUUACAAGGCCAAGCCCGAGUCGGCAACAGAUAGACUUAAUUUGUCAAUUCUUAGUAAGUAAGCAAGCAAAACUGGUAAACAAAUUCUCAUUCCUCUCAAUUAUGAAUCAAACUGAUAGCUGAUAAAGCCAGUGAUUCCUCCAAGGUUACCAUGCAUGCACUUUCCAAGCAUUUCUUCAGGAAUUCAAAGUCUGCCACCGUAACUUAGUAAAUGCUACCCAAAAUAAUCAACAAUUUCUUUUUUAUGCCCCUGGCGUGUCUUUCAGUAUUGCCAUUGGUUCUAUUCGUUUUCUUUUGGCUCCUCUCCCUUGGUUCAGCAGCGUCUGCUGAACAAUUUGUGAAGCAAAGAUGAGACAGCAGGGAAACAUUGGUGCAUAAAACUCCAACUAUUAGCAGAAUAAACUGAAAGAAAGCCAUUCAUCAACUGGUUGGUGCAGUGAAUUUGAUUUAAACUGCCAGUAUUCAAAUGCUUAAUAGAGGAGUUCAAGAACAUUCAAAGUUAUGUUAUAUUGACACAAAAGAAUCAAACACAAAAUUUUAAGGUGUUAAUCAAAGUCUGACUCAACCUGAUUCACUUCAAUCUGAUCCAUGAACACCCUUAAGUGGAAUUUGAGAUUUUCUCUUUAAUGUCUAGACUUCAAAUUUUAAGAUAUAAGAGGCGAGAUUACCACAGGAAAAAAAGACUAUUUUUUUUCUUCUGCCAAAAGUGGAAUUUAUUUAUAACAACAUAAUCCCUACUAAAAUAAAGGCAUAGCCGGAAAGCACCAAUAGCAAUAAGCAGAGAACAUAUAAGCAUCACACAUCACAAAUAGCGAACCAUGAAUCAUUUAACCACCAAGCAGCAAACAUAGAGUCUCUGCCCACUCCAUAUUUAGCUAGAGCAUCGACAAAGGAAUUCGCCUCACACAAAUUAUGGACAAUGGCUACAUCACCGAUGGACGGCAUAAGACUGUCAAUCUCAUCAAAAACAUGUCAUUUAUCCCACUGUCUCUAUUACUAGUUUCCUAGUACCUGCAAGUGAGGAUGAUGCAAAUAAACGAAGGGCAUAUUUGAGAACCUAGAAUCUAAUAUGUCUUCUUUUGUAAUUAAAAACUACUAGUGUAUAUAUAUUGCUUGAGAACCACAAAUCCAUAUAAAAUUGCAGGAUGGAUACACCAACAUUGACUGACCUUGUCGCCUUCUUCGGCACCAUUUAAUUUAUCAUAGCACAAUGUAAAUGUGUGUCAAAAAUGUUAUCUUUCAAUUAUUCUUCCCGUACGCUGAAAAAGGCAAAGAAGACAAUGUUAUCACGGAUUAGCUAUUUGAUUGGACAUUAUAGAAUAAGUUGUAAUGAAAAAGUUAUUUUCAAAGUAGUUCUCGUGACUCCGUGCCUUCUCAUUCAGUACAAUGUGGAGUCCACACAUCUCGCUCACCGCUAUACUUUAUCAUUGCUGGCAAUUCCUCGAAGGGUACGUCAGGGUGUUCUUUAACCAUGACUAAUCGAAGCAGUAUCAUAUUGUAACUUGAUACUUCUUACUUCAAUUACUACUCUUUAUAACCAAUGAAGGAAAAUUUGUAUAAAACAACUGUAUCAUAUUGUAGAUUGGAUAUCACCAAAUCAUUACGUCCAUCUCCAAUGCUCCUAAAGCACCCACUACUGGUAGCUUUUUUUUUUUUUUUUUCUUAUGCUGAGGCAUUCACAACAAUAUUAAACAACAUUAUAGACAAAGAACAUCUCUGUCAAAGUCCUUUUCUUAUUAUAUGCUUUUUUUAAGUCUAUUAUAAAAAAAUACCCCUCAUACUAUCCUUUUCAUAAGAUUAAUAAUCUCAUUAACUAUAAGUGAAAAAUUUGUAAUUUAUCUCCCAUUAAUGAAAGCAAAUUGAUUGCAUCCAAUCACCUUUGCCGCUGCAAGUCUCAAACGGUUUGCGAAGAUUCUAGCGAGAAUUUUAUACAAACUUUCCACUUGACUAAUUGGUCUAUAAUUGCUUGACCCAUAAGACACUCAUGCUUUGGAAAGAGAAUUAUAAAAGAUGAGUUUAUGUAAUUAUUAAAAGAACACAAAUUAUGAAAUUCAUGCAAAAAUUCAUCACUUCCCCUUUUAGAUUGUUCUAUUGAUUUUAGAAUAAGUGCACAUUAAAAUCAUCUGAUCUUGAUACUUUUUAUCUUGUUUGCUUAGUCAACAAAGAUUUUUGUUAAUACCAACAUGUUUUACAAGCUUUAAUAUCCCAAUUAAGAGGGAAUAUCGUUACAAGAAUCAUCCUAAACAUCCAUUGAUAGUUUGACCAAAAUCAUCGGUCAGCAACAAUAUAAAAAAUAUCCCAUUUAUCAUCAAGUAUAAAAUAACUCAGUUCUUGGCCAAUGAAUCUGCCAAGAAAUUUGCUUCCUCAAUUUCCAAUCGCAGACUCAUGGCUAAGCUUUAUAAAUCUGAAACAUUAAUGAUAAUUGUAACUCGGACCAGACUCAACAUAUCAAGUGACACACAAUGCAUUCCGGGUACUAGUAGGGUUGGAAAUAACAGCAAUCUAUCGAGCCAUUUGUAAUACGCCAGAUGGUGUUCGACAAGUCAAAGCAGGUUCCAAUGAGGUUCCAAGUGGAGCGGGCAGAUCAAUCAUGGAUCUAAAUAGUUUUCUUUUAUUUUAUAUUCCAAACACUGCUGCAUUUCUCACCACGCUUUUGCUUACGGUUCUGUUUUAAAAAUUGGUCUUUUCGGUGAAGUGGUUCUCUUACCGUUGCUGCCAUUAAUCAUUUGCUAUGUCAUGUCCACGCUAGUCAUAACCCCAACUGCAAAGUUUACUUAUUGCAGUUGGCUUACUUUGGUGCUUGCUGUUGAGUUUGGGUGUUUGUUAUUGGGAGCUUAUUCAUAUCGGUUGCUGAAAAUAAAGAAGGUUAAUAGGAGCUCAGGAGAACUCACCGUCUCAGUGUUAUUUUGAAAGGGGUGGGAACAUAGACAUCCUUUAGCAUUAGCGUUUGCAUAGAUAGACGUUUUCAACAUAAAAUGUCCAGAUGAAUUUGAAAAUUGUGAUUGAAUUUUUUGUGAUUUCUAGAGAAAUGUUCAUCUUCAUACCCCCUGUCACCAUCUAUGACAUCCUUUUGCUAAUUAUUUUCAUUUUCAUCAAAAAUUAAAAACGUUAACUUUAAGUGCUUGUUCAUAAUUAGAUUCAUGUCUUGUUUAGGAUUGAAUUAAUAUGUUGACACAAGUUUUUUUUUUUCGUUGAAUGGUGCAAUCUAAUCUAAUUCAAUAAGUUCAAAAAAUUUUGUAAGAUAUUUUUUAAACACAAACACAAAAUCAUCUGUUAAUUAUGUAAGUUGAUAUUAAAAACACAUAACUUACUAUUAUUAUUGUAUAAAUAUUUAAUAAUAACUUUAUAAGUAUGUAAAAUUGAUCAAAUGUUAAUAUAAAGUUUAUAUCUAAGUAGUAGACUUUUAUAUGAUUUUUCUUUAUAAUUAAAAUAUUUAAUAUUAUAGAAAAAUUCUCAUUAACGAUCCACUAAGUCUAAGCCUAAGCCUAAACCUAUUGAAAUGCAUAAAGACAAGCAUGUUUGUGAUAAAAAUUUUCACUUUUCUACUCUGUCCUCUAUUCAAUUGAUUCUUGAAGAUGAGAGACACAGAGAGGGAAGAAUGUAAGAAGAAGAAAUUUUAUCUUAGUCCUUAUCCAUUGAUUUUUCUACCAUACUUUUAUUGUUAAGUAAAUUUGGGUAAGUUGAGUUCCGGUGCUUGAAUGUGAAAUAGCCACAAGUGCUAUCCAGCUUUCAAUAGAUAUUUUAAAACCAGAAUAAAGGACAGACAGCGAGAUUUAUCGUUUCAGUGAAUACUACUUUAUCUCCACGACUACUGUUUCUGUUUUGUCACCAUUCCUAAUUGACUGUAAUUACUGACACAACAGUGUAGUGUGCACCCUCUCUUUACUCUUUUAAUCAAUUGCUGUCAGUAGCCUUACGAUUACCUAUCAAUUUAUCAGUAUUCUAAGCCUUAUCACCUUACUAUGUUUACUGAAUGGAGGGGAACUGCUCUGCCUUUUUUUUACGUCUUUGUAAUUUGCCUCUCCUGAUAUGGAUGAAAGUUUGAAGAGAGCUGCACAAGAAGGAAAUAUUGUUGAAUUAUAUGCAUCAAUCCAAAGAGAUGGAAAUGUUUUGAGGCAGAUGGAUGAGAUGGAGUUCGUUGACACUCCAUUACACAUAGCUGCAGCUGAAGGGUGCUUUGAUUUUGCCAUGGAGGUAAUGAUCUUAAAGCCGUCAUUCGCUAGGAAGCUAAACCAAGAAGGCUUAAGCCCCAUUCACCUUGCGUGGAAAAGGGGCGUAAAGACAAAAUUUUAAGGUGUUAAUCGAAGUCUGACUCAAUCUGAUUCACUUCAAUCUGAUCCAUGAACACCCUUAAUUAGAAUUCGAGAAUUUCUCUUUAACGUCUAGACUUCAAAUUUUAAGAUAUAAGAGACGGGAUUACCAGAGGAAAAAAAGAUAUUUUUUUUCUUCUGCCAAAGUGGAAUUUAUUUAUAUAUAUGUCACCGACCACUAGACAAAGAGUAGAGAAAAUAACAACAUAAUUCCUAGUAAAAAUAAGGCAUAGCCGGAAAGCACCAUUAGCUACAAGCAGAGAACAUAUAAAUGUCACACAACAUCACAAAGAUCGGACCAUGAAUCAUUUGAACACGAAGCUGCGAACAUAGAGUCUCUGUCCACUCCAUAUUUAGCUAGACCAUCGACAAAGGAGUUCGCCUCACACAAAUUAUGGACAAUGGCUACAUCACCGAUGGACUGCAUAAGACUGUCAAUCUCAUUAAAAAUAUGUCAUUUAUCCCACGGUCUCUAUUACUAGCUUCCUCGUACCUGCAAGUAAGGAUGAUGCAAAUAAACGAAGGGCAUAUAUUUGAGAACCUAGAAUCCAAAAUGUCUCCUUUUGUAAUUAAAGACUACUAGUGGAUGUAUAUUGCCUGAGAACCACAAAUCCGUAUAAAAUUGCAGGAUGGAUAUGCCAACAUUGACGGACCUCGUCGCCUUUUUAGCCACCAUUUAAUUUAUCAUAGCACAAUAUAAAUGUGUGUCAAAAAUGUUAUCUUUCAAUUAUUCUUACCGCACGCUGAAAAAGGUAAAGAAGACAAUGCUAUCACGGAUUAACUAUUUGAUUGGACGUCACAGAACAAGUUGUAAUGAAGUAGUUCUCAUGACGCCGUCCCGCUAAACCUCAUCAUUGCACGCAACGCCUCGAAGGGUACGUGAAGUUGCUCUUUAACCAUGGCUAAUUGAAGUGACUUUUUUUGUUUUUUUAUGACUAGUUGCUUCACUUGCUUUUUCCAUAACUACGAGUAGAUUGCUCUUGUUUGUUAAUUAUAUAUGAAAAAAUUAUAAAAGAAUAGUUUUUUUUCUUAAAUUUAAUUUAAAAAUAUUAUUUUUUAUAAUUUUAAUUAUUUUUAAUUAAUUUUUGAUAUAAUUUGAUAAUAAUAUCUUUUAAAUAAUUUUAAAUAAGUCAAAAUAGUUUAAAUUUUUUUCAUCUCGUCAUUUAGAUAAAAAUUUUUAAAAUUAAAUCUCGAUUUAUCUCUCUGAUUAAAUACUAUCUAUCUCGUCAUUCAAAAAUGAUAUCAAGUUUUUAUUUUAUUUUUUAAAAUAGUAAAUUUUAGGGUUUUCAAGGAUAAUGAAUAGCGAUUUUACUCUUCAAUGGUGAUUGCAGGCAAUAUGAUGGAUUUGGUAAUUGGAUACUUUCUGAUGAUGACUUGCUUCGAAACAUGUGUUGUGAUGAAAAUACCUGUGUUGAUGAGCUGGAUCAGAUUAAUUAAAAUGAUAGGCUCAGGGAAAAAAAUAGUUAAAACAUGUUUGAUGGAUUUUAUAGUGGUUCACGAUUUUAUUAUGUCUAGGAUUGAGAUGACUGUUAAACAUAUUUGCUGAGAAUUUUAAUUUUUUUAUGAGAUUUUGAAUUAAAAUUGUUCAAGUAAUAUUUUAUAAAGAGAGUAUAUUUUGUUUUUGCAUAAGAGGAGUGAGCAAGGCCCUCUCGAUAGAGAUUUAUUUUGUCUUGCUUUGGAGAGUUAUAGAGUUUUGUAACCUAUCUUUUAUGAAAUGCAUAAUUUCAUGGCUUAGCAAAUAAAAAAAGUACGUGUUUUAUGUUUUUGAGUUUAUUAGUUUAUUCAUAAAACCUCAAAGUUAAAGAGUUGAAAUUGAUUAGACUGGUUUUUAAGUAUUACAAGAUUGAUUUUUAGGCAUUACGUAAUUUAAUUACUACGUGACUGAUUUUUAGAAAAUACAUUAUUGAUUUUAAGCAUUAUGUGACUGAUUUUUAGACAUUACGUGACUGAUUUUUAAGUAAUACCUAAGUCGCACAAUGCCUUACUAACAAGUUACGCAAUACCUAUCAACUAGUCACGUAAUACCUUAUCAAAAACUAGUCACACAAUGCUUUAUCAAAAACUAGUCACACAAUACUUAAAGUCAAUCAUGUAAUGUUCAAAGUCAGUCAUAUAAUACUUAAAAACUAGUAACGUAAUUCUCAAAAAUCACCAAAAUUAUUGAAUUUCAUUUAAUAAGAUCAACAACUUCAAACGAUAUACCAUAUUUUAUUUAACAAUAUAAUUAACGAAUAUGAAUGCUCAAAGUGUUUAAAAAUUUUUCUUCAUAUAUCAAAAAUAUUUCAAAAUACUUAAAAAUAUUUAAAACGCUCACAAAUUUUUUUCAUGUAUCAAAAACUAUUCCAAAAUAUUCAAAAUGCUUAAACAUUUUUUUGGAUAAGAAAUACUCUAAAAAUGAAUAAUUUGAUAAGGAAAGUUAAAAAAAUAUGAGUCAGUUUGAGACGCAGAUCUAAACAUACUUGAUCUGUUAAUAAAUUUUGAGUUGAGGAAUGAAGUCAAAUAAAUAAGUCAAUUUUAUUAAAGAUAAUUUUAUCUAAAUUUUAAUUCUUUUAAAUAAAAAUAAUUAAAAUUAUAAAAAAAUCUAUUACCAAAAACACCUUAUACAUAUAGACACAUUUAAAAAAGAGCUAAUUAUAUAUUGGUUCUGUUUCCUUUCUAUAUUAUCCUCUAUUUCUUUAUGCUUUAAACUGCUCUAAUUUAUCAUGUUGUUAUUUAUUCGAUGUCGAUAUGGCAAAAUCAUUGAUUAUAAUAAAAUUUUUACUUUAAACCAUGUACAAAGAAAAAAUUAUGAGAAAUUUUAUUAUCUCUAAAUAAUUUAAAUUUAAAAAAUAAAUGAAAAAUAUUAAAUUUUCUCCCUUAAAAUUACUAACAGAGUAAUACUCUAUGUAAUGCUUAUUAACUUUUUAUUAGAACAAUAUCUAAAAGAAGAAAACUUAUACUAAAUUUAAAUUCAUGUCAUCUCGAAUUAGUUUUUCAGAUCAAUUCGGGUUUAAGUUAUUCGAAUUUGGAUUGAUUUUGAUUGGGAUCAAAUUAAGUAGGAUAAAAUUCAAAAACACAAGAGCAACUGAAUUCCAUUAUGGUAUGCUUGAUGAAUGUUUCACAUGGAAAGGGACAAAAUAGAAACCAUGGCUUUAUAAAGUCAGCAGCCCAAGCAAAAUAAGACCAAGACUUGAGCAAAGGACCCCAACUUUCUUUAAAAGCCUGUGGGCAUGGUUAUUCCAUUUAUGCCUUAAAAGUUGUGAAGAAGUAAUAUAGUAGAUAAUAGGUAAUGUUGUUAGCAUUAAUUCAGUUACCCACUAUGCUUUUGAAUUAAGAUAAUUCAGUUAUACACCUUAUACAUAACCCAUUUUCGUUUGGAAUAUUUUAUUUUAAUAUAUUGGACAGAUGACAUGAUUUUGAAUCGAGAAACAAAAAAGAUACGGAAUGACUUGAAGGCAUUUUUUUAAGUACAUAUGAGGAAGUAUAAGUAAUUAUUAAUUAAGAGUUUAUAUAGUGGGUUGAUUUUAUGAUUAGUUGCCUGACUUGCUUCUUUCCUCUUUAUAUUAUCCUCUGCUUCUUUAUUCUUUAAGCUGCUCUAAUCUUUUCUUGCAAAUUUCAUCAGUUUUCAGUAGUCUGGAUAUUGCUGCAUAAUUUAUUAUCCCCAGCAUAAUGGAUUGGAGGAUGAGUGAGGCUGCUCAAACAGGAAACAUCAACGUAUUGUAUGAAUUAAUCCAGGAAGAUCCAUAUGUUUUGGAGCGUAUUGAUCAGGUGCCUUUUCUUGAUACACCUUUACAUAUAGCAGCCUGUGCUGGGCAUGUUGAUUUUGUGAUGGAAAUGAUGAACUUAAAGCCAUCAUUCGCCAGGAAGCUCAACCAACGCGGCUUGAGCCCCAUUCACCUAGCCUUGCAAAAGAAACAAGAAAAGAUGGUGGAUGAUCUCCUAUCAGUUGAUAAAGAUCUUGUUCGUGUCAAAGGGAGGGAGGGCAUGACUCCUCUGCAUCAUGUAGUUGGAACUGGAAACCUUGAUCUAUCGAUCAGGUUUCUUGAGGUUUGCCCCGAGGCUAUUGAAGAUGUGACUGUUCGAGAUGAGACUGCUUUCCAUCUCACAGUCAAAAACGACAUGUUCGAAGCUUUUGAAGUCUUGAUAGGAUGGCUCCGAAGGAGCCGCCAUGAAGCUGCCCAACGAUGGGAAAACAAGCUACUGAGUUGGGCGGACAUUGAAGGCAACACUAUUCUGCACAUUGCAGCCAUCAGAGAUAGUCCUCAGGUAUGCUACCUAUCUCAAUGACUCCAUUUAUAUGAUGCCAGAGAUCUAGUUUUAUGAAUAUUAAUUUGUUACUUUACCAAUUAUCAGGUUGUAGAAGUGUUGCUGGAAAAUUUGAGUCAAGACCAUAUCAAUUCCAAAAAUUUGGAGGGAUUGACGGCUCUAGAUAUCCUAUUAGAACACCAAAGGAAUGAAAGGCAAGUGGAGAAUAGAGAGAUAAUGGAUAUUUUAAGCAAAGCCGGAGGUUUGCGUGGUUCCUCGCUUCCCAAUAAUCCCGACUCUUCAAUCAACGUCAAUUCAUUCAGAUCAAAGAUGUCAUAUUUUCAAAAAUUUGCAACAAUCGCAGCUCGUGGAAAGAAGGGUAUCUCAUAUGAGAUGCGUAACGCAUUUCUAGUAGUGACUGUGCUAAUUAUAACAGCCACUUACGAUGCCUCAUUAAAUCCUCCUAAGAAGGGUGACGACGUUUCAUUUCAGAAUUACCAAGUCUCUAGUUCUUACACAUUUUAUCAGGGAGCAAAUCCUCCUACGGGUGGCGGUAAUUCUCUGCAGGACUUAACAGAUUUAGUAGAUGCAUCUUCCAUGUUUUGGUUAUACAACACCUUAACUUUUUGGGUGGCACUGGGGUUAACAGCUUAUCUCCUCCCAAGUCGUACAAUCUGUUUGUUUCUUCUCAUAACACUUUCCCUUUUCGGCUCCUGUUACAUGCUUUUAGUAGCUGUUGUCUCAUGGAAACUACAAUUUCUUAUUUCUCUUACACCUUCACCCUUCUCGUAUCAUGCUCUUUCCGUUGUGAACUACUGAUUGUCAACGUUAAUAGCUGUCCUGGUGGCGUUUCGGAUCGCCCGUUAUGUUUUCUACAGAUUUGUACCCAGAAGAAAGAUUUUCUGCCUCGUACAAUUUGUUUCCUUUCUGCUUAUAGUUAUAUGUAUUCUUACUCCAGCUGUGUUAAAUGUCGAAACCAUAUUCUUUCUGUGAAGUUAAGGGGGAUUGUGGUUUUCUGUAAGGCAAAUUCUUUCCUGGAACGUCCCCGUAAGCCGUGUACUAAUUAUUGGACUUUUAUUGCAGCUUGGAUUCUUGAUGUAUCUUCUUAUUUUUUUCUAAUGAAAGUUUGCAUUGUCUGAGAAAAUAAAAAUAUAGUUGACAAAAACUUCACCAACACAAAGUCUUGGUCCAGUUGAUAGCGAGAAAGUGUAUUUUCGCAUCCUGUCUUCUUCCUUCGAAACGUUAUGACGGAAAUACCUCCAUGUCCUAAUUCAGCAUGACAGCUGAGGCGGAAAACCAAAACAAAAGCAUCUUUUUUUCUCUUCACCCCGACCUCCACUCAUCCAAAACACUCCGGCUGAUAUGGUAUCUGGGCCAAGCACCUCCACUCACUUCCCACUCUCUCCCUUGUAGUUACAAACUAAGCACCCUUUCACCAUUGACCAUACACACUCCAGCCACUCAGCCCAUCCACCAUUCUUUCAAAGACCUCGCCCCAACUUUCAAAGUGGAGUACCACAAGCUAAAAGCGUGUUUGACCAAAUUAUUUUCAUUAUCAUCAAGAAGUUCAACACCAAUACCAAAAAUUUUGCUUUUGUUUUUAAGUUGAUUCUCGAUCCGAAAUCAUUUGAAAUCAUAUUAACACUUUUUUUUGUACAGUUGUAGAAGUUUUAUGUCAAAUUUGCAUAAAAUAACUGUAUCAUAUUAUAGAUUAGAUUUCACCAAACCAUUAUGUCCAUCUCCAAUGCCCCUAUAGCACCCAUUAGUGGUAACAGUUUUUUGUAACGCUUAGGCAUUCACAACAAUAUUAAAUAACAUUAUAGAUAAAGGGCAUCUUUGUCAUAGUCUUCUUCUUAUUAUAUGCUUUUUUUAAGUCCAGUAUAAAAAGAUACCCCUCAUACUAUCCUUCCUCAUAAGAUUAAUAAUCUCAUUAGCUAUAAGUGAAAAAUUUGUAAUUUAUAAUCUCAUUAAUGAAAGCAAAUUGAUUGCAUCCAAUCACCUCCACCGCUGCAAGUCUCAGACGGUUUGCUAAGAUUCUAGCAAGAAUUUUAUACAAACUUUCCACUUGAUUAAUUGGUUUAUAAGUGCUUGACCCCAUAAGACACUCAUGCUUUGGAAAGAGAAUUAUAAAAGAUGAGUUUAUGUAACUAUUAAAAGAACACAAAUUAUAGAACACAGAUUGUUCUAUUGAUUUUAGAAGAAGUGCAGAUUAAAAUCAUCUUAUCAUGAUACCUUUUUUUUUGUUUGCUUAGUCAACAAAGUUUUUUUAUUAAUACCAACAUGUUUUACAAGCUUUGAUAUCCCAAUUAAGAGGGAAUAUCGUUACAAGAACCGUCCCAAACAUUCAUUGAUAGUUUGACCAAAAUCAUCGGUAAGCAACAACAUAAAAAAUACCCCAUUCAUCACCAAGUAUAAAACAACUCAGUUCUUGGCUAACGAAUCUGCCAAGAAAUUUGCUUCCUCAAUUUCCAAACCCAGACUCAUGGCUAAGCUCUAUAAAUGUGAAACAUUAAUGAUAAUUGUAACUCGGACCAGACUCAAUAUAUCAAGUGACACACAAUGCAUUCCUGGUACUAGUAGGUUUGGAAAUAACAGCAAUCUACCGAGCCAUUUGUAAUACGCCAGAUGGUGUUCGACAAGCUGAAGCAGGUUCUAGUGAGGUUCCAAGUGGAGUAGGCAGCAAUCAUGGGUCCAGAUAGUUUUCUUUUAUUUUAUAUUCCAAACACUGCAACAUUUCUCACCACGCUUUUCCUUACGGUUCUGUUUUAAUAAUUAAUUUUUUUGACGAAGUGGUUCUCUUACCGUUGUUGCCAUUAGUCGUUUACUAUGUCAUGUCCACGCUAGUCAUAACCCCAACUGCAAAGUUUACUUGUUUCAUUUGGCUUACUUUGGUGCUUGCUAUUGCUUUUGGGUGUUGGUUAUUGGGAGCUUAUUUAUAUCGGUUGCUGAAAAUAAAGAAGGUUAAUAGGAGCUCAAGAGAACUCAAAGUCUCAGUGUUAUUUUGAAAGGGAUGGAAACAUACACAUCCUUUAGCAUCAGCCUUUGCAUAGAUAGACGUUUUCAACAUAAAAUGUCGAGAUGAAUUUGAAAAUUUUGAUUGAAUUUUUUGUGAUUUAUAGAGAAAUGUUCAUCUUCAUACCCCCUGUCGCCAUCCAUGGCAUCCUUCUGCUAAUUAUUUUCAUCUUCAUCAAAAAAUAAAAACGUUAACUUCAAAUGCUUAUUCACAAUUAAAUUCACGUCUUACUUAGGGUUGAACUAAUAGGUUGACCCAAGUUUUUUUUUAUUUAUUUUUUCAUUGAAUGGUUCGAUCUAAUCUAACUCAAUAAGUUCAGAAAGUUUUUAAAGAUAUUUUUUAAACACAAACAUAAGAUCAUCUAUUAAUUACAUCAAUUGAUAUUAAAAAAACAUCACUUACUAUUAUUAAUGUAUAAUUAUUUAAUAAUAACUUUAUAAGUAUGUAAAAUUUAUCAAAUAUUAAUAUAAAGUUUAUAUCUAAAUAAUAGAUUUUUUCAUGAUUUUUCCUUAUAAUUAGAAUAUUUAAUAUUAUAGAAACAUUCUCAUUAACGACCCACUAAGUCUAAGCCUACUCAAAUGCAUAAAGACAAGCAUGUUUGUGAUAAAAAUUUUCGCUUUCCUACUCUGUCCUUUGUUCAAUUGAUCCUUGAAGAUGAGAGACACUGAGAGGGAAGAAUGUAAGAAGAAGAAAAUCUAUCUUAAUCCUUAUCAAUUGAUUUUUCACCAUACUUUUAUUGUUAAGUAAAUUUGGAUAAGUUGAGUUCCAAUGAUUGAAUAUGAUGUAGCCACAAGUGCUAUCCAGCUUUCAAUAGAUAUUUUAAAACCAGAAAAAAUAUUUCAAGAGAUAUUUUAAAUAUGAUAUGCUUAAAUAUUGUAUGGGUUCCCCAUACAAAAAUAUUUAUUUGAUCGUAUUGAAAAGGACUUUUAGAUUGCAACUUGAAAUAAACAUUUAUCUAUACAGAAAUAAAAUAUUAAUUUAUUCUUAUGGUAGGAACAAGAAGAUUGACUCACAAACAUCGACAAUGACAGUUUAAAAAUAUAAUCAAUAAAGAAUUUUGGUUAAAACCCAGUAUACUGACCAUUUCUGCGCGCGGAAAGUUUCUUUCACAAAGACAACUCCACCAAUCAGGCAAGCAAUAUGGUACGCACAAGCAGAUUUGGUCUGACAAAAGCAGAUAGCACUUGCGCUUUUGACCAAAUUAGGCAAUUUCUUACUUGGAAAAUUUCCUUGGAACCUCCAAGAGCACCUCAUGUGUAGUUUGUUUACUAAUUAAGUGUAUCAAACCCUUGAAACACAUUGUCUGCCUCAUCAUUCUCCCAAUUUCCUUUUGUUUAUAGCUCUUGUUAUCCUUGUCAGAAUUCUCAAGAUGGAUGAGCUUUAUGAGAGGCUGCGAAGGGCUUCCCAAGCAGGAAAUAUCGAUGCAUUAUAUGCAUUAAUUCGAGAAGAUGCAUAUCUUUUGGAAGGCAUUGAUCAGAUACCAUUCUUUGAUACCCCACUGCACAUAGCUGCAGCUGCCGGGCACACUGAUUUUACCAUGGAGAUAAUGAACUUGAAGUUAUCAUUAGCUCUAAAGCUGAACAAUGAUGGCUUUAGCCCUAUUCACCUUGUCUUGCAAAAUGGGCAAGAAGAGACAGUCCUUGAUCUCCUGGGAAUGGAUAAAGAUCUCGUUCUAAAUUUAAAAAAAAAUAUUAAAAGGACUAAAAUAAAAACAUUUUUCUAAAUUUCAACGGAAGUUAAAUGUGGACAUUCAAUAAAAUUUCAAGCCUUUAAGCUUUCUGUCAAGCAUAAUGGCUUAAAACCACUGCCCUGCAUUUACAAAGAAACUCUAUCUCAAUCCUUAUCAAUUGAUUUUUCUACCAUACUUUUAUUGUGAAGUAAAUUUGGAUGAGUUGAGUUCCGAUGCUUGAAUAUGAUAUAGCCACAAGUGCUAUCCAGCUUUCAAUAGAUAUUUUAAAACCAGAAUAAAGUAGGAGAAAGCAAGAGUUAUCGCUUCAGUGAAUACUACUUUAUAUCCACGACUACUUUUUCUGUUUGGUAACCAUUCUUGAUUGGCCUUAAUUGACUGACACAACAGUGUCCUGCGCACCCUCUCUUUACUCUUUUAAUCAAUUGCUGUCAGUGGCCUUACGAUUUACCGACCAAUUUAUCAUUAUUCUAAGCCUUAUCACCUUACUAUGUUUACUGGACGGAGGGGAACUGCUGAACUUUUUAUUUUUAUGAAGUGAAACCAAUCCGAAUGUCUCCAAUGCUCUCUUAGUUAUAUGUGUCUUAAUAUCCUCUUCUAUUUUCAGCACGUCUUUGUAAUUUGGCUCUCCUCAUAUGGAUGAAAGUUUGAAGAGAGCUGCACGAGAAGGAAAUAUUGUUGAAUUAUAUGCAUCAAUCCAAAGAGAUGGAAAUGUUUUGAGGCAGAUUGAUGAGAUGGAGUUCGUUGACACUCCAUUACACAUGGCCGCAGCAGAAGGGUGCUUUGAUUUUGCUAUGGAGGUAAUGAUCUUAAAACCGUCGUUCGCUAGGAAGCUAAACCAAGAAGGCUUAAGCCCCAUUCACCUUGCAGUGGAAAAGGGGCAUAAAGAGCUGGCGCUACAUCUCAUGCAAAAUGAUAAAAAUCUUGUCCGUGUCAAAGGAAGGCUGGGUGAGACUCCUUUGCACUACGCAGUAACUGGAGCAGAAAACCUCGAUCUCUUGGCCAGAUUUCUAGAGGCUUGCCCUGAAUGCAUCCCAGAUAUGGCAACUACAAACCAGACUGCUUUGCACAUUGCAACGAGAAACGAUAACUUAGAAGCUCUUGAACUCCUAUGUCGGAUGCUUAGGAAGAGUGACUAUUGUGAGGAUGUGGUGAACCAGAAAGACAGGAAUGGCGACACUGCCUUGCACAUAGCUGCGCGCAAUAAUCAACCCAAGGUCCGAUCUUUUCCCCUCUUAAUUAUUUUUACUUUUACCAAAAAAAGAAUGGAUUCUUUAAUUUGGGAUUGUAUUUCACGGUCAAUUGAUUGUGGCUUUUGUUUGUCUCAAACUCUCUAUCAAACAGAUGCUCAAACUGCUAUUAAAAUGCAAGGCUGAUAAGCUUGCGACCAAUCAGGCUGGUAGGACGGCACUGGCAAUUGCCUGCGAACUUAAUAACAGAGAGAGCAUUAAGAUUCUGCGUGGUUGGCGAAGUGCAAAAGUUUUAAGCUAUCAAUAUAAGAUUCGGAAACAAAUGUUUAAGACUGUGACAAAGGCAUCAGAAGUAAUUUUUCAAGGUAUGGAUAGUAUAUCAAGCGAGGAUCGCAAUGCCUUACUAGUAGUUUUAGGUUUGCUUCUAACAGCUACCUACCAAGCUAGUAUUAGCCCGCCGGGUAGUGUUAGGCAAGGUGAUGGCUCCUCAAACUCCGAUUCCACUGUGGGCAAAUCAGUCAUGGAUCAAGUUAAUUUUCUUCUUUUCUAUAUUCCAGCCUGUACUGUCUUCCUAGUAGCGUUUUUCCUAACAUUGGGCCUCCUUAGACCUUACCCCCAUCGUUUCAAGACUGCUCUUCAAGUACUACUUGCAUUUCUUGCUAUAUCUUUCAACGAAGCAAUAACUUUCAUAGCACCAACUGAUUUCGCGACGGAUGUUAUCAAUUUGUUUUCAGUGUUGGUUUUUGUUUUAAUGAUGGUCAUGUGUGUUGCUUAUCGGGUAUCAAAAGUUAGCGUUUUAUUUCUAGGAUGCUGGUUAGUGCCUGAUCUGUAUGGCCCAUUGCAGAUAGGAGCCUAUUUAAUUAUAGGGUGUUGGUUAUUUUUUAGUCUAUAUGAUCCAUUUUGGAUAGGAUCCAUUGGAAUUGUAGUAUGCAUUUUAGUACUAUAUGAGUUUAUUCACAGCUGGAUUGUAAUUGCCAUAGUUUCAGUACCCAUGGUAUUGCUUGCUUUGUUUCUAUUGUGGUUAGAAGUAGUGCAAUGAGAACGUUGGCUGACAUCGCACCCCUCAAGGCAUACGGACACCUAAUGCUGAAUGAGGAUCUAAACGAUGGCUGCUCCGGCAUCUAGAUAUUUUUUAUUUCCGGUUUUGUAUCUUUUUUGUUGUAUCAUAAUGUACCACCCAUAAAUUCAAUUCCUCCUGUAUAAAAUCAUCUCCACUUUUUAGUGUAUCUUUUUACUGUACUUUAUUUCGCUUAUAAUAUGUGCUGAUAUGUUAUUAAUACUGUUUUUGUUUUAAAUUAAACUUUAGGCUUUCACUCAUCAUAAAAAUUUCAAAAAAAAUAUGAUGAUAUUAGCAUUUAUUGUAAAUUAUUUUAUGUAUAGUAUUUUCGUUAUAAAAUUAUGAUUUCAUUGAGAAUGGGAUAACUCUCCCAAGCAAAAACAAAAAUGGGGGGUUUCAAGCCUUUAUGGUACGUUUGGUUGGCGGAAUAGAUAGGAAUGGAAUAAAAUAGUUAUUACGUGAUAAUAGAAUGAAGUGGGAAUAGAAUAGAAUAGUUAUUACUUAGUUUGGUAUGACAAAGGGAAUAGACCAGGAAUAAUUAUUAUGACUUAUUGUAGUGUUUGGUUGGUAACAAUAAUUUUGGAAUAAGAGAGGAAUAGAAAAUAAAAAGACAAAAACACCCUUUAUUAUUUAUAUGACUAUUUUUUAUUAGAUUUUUUAAAUAUUAAUAAUCUAGAAUUUAAUUAAAAUAUUAAUAAUAAAUCAUUUAAAUAUUAACAUUUAUUAUAGUUUAAAUAUUAUUAUGAUUAAUUUUAUUUUAUUUUAUUUUAAAUUUGUUUUGAUUCGAAUCAUUGAUUCGAUAUAUAAUUUUGUAUGAUUGUUUUUUAAUUAUUUUUUAUAUAAAAUUUUGAAUUUGUCACUGUUGAUGAUGAUAAUCAUGUACUCAUUUUUCAUUUUUAGAUAUAAUAUAUAUAGUGUUAAUGUUUAAUUAAUCAUUCACUUUAUCCGUAAAUAUAACAAAAUGACAAUCUUUGAAAGAAUUCAUAAAUUUAUCAAAUUAAAAAAGCGUGUACAGAUGAAAUAAGGAAGCAAAUUAAGAGAAACAGCCCAUUACAACCAUUGCAACCAAAUUAAAUCUUUGUUUCUCUCAACGUCUUGCUUUGCAACAGAAUCCGCUCUAUGGUUACUGUAUACACAAAUAAGAAUGCUCAAAAUAUUCUCAGAAAGCAUACUUCGGUUAGUUGCCUAGGAUAUAUAAAAAAUGGAUUUGCCUAAUUUAUUAUUAUUAAAUUUCUACUAUUUUAAUUUUUAAAUAUUUAGUAUAAAUUGAUUUAUCAAAAAGCCCCGUGCCUUUCCAUUUUGAGGGCUUAUUCGAUGGUGCGACUCGUUCUGCACCUUUUCCUUUAAAAACUUCUUGGUCUCAAACAAAAAUGGAGUUAAUUUCUAAAUAAACUAAUUACGUACCUCUAAUUAGGGGUGAGUAUCGGNNNNNNNNNNNNNNNNNNNNNNNNNNNNNNNNNNNNNNNNNNNNNNNNNNNNNNNNNNNNNNNNNNNNNNNNNNNNNNNNNNNNNNNNNNNNNNNNNNNNNNNNNNNNNNNNNNNNNNNNNNNNNNNNNNNNNNNNNNNNNNNNNNNNNNNNNNNNNNNNNNNNNNNNNNNNNNNNNNNNNNNNNNNNNNNNNNNNNNNNNNNNNNNNNNNNNNNNNNNNNNNNNNNNNNNNNNNNNNNNNNNNNNNNNNNNNNNNNNNNNNNNNNNNNNNNNNNNNNNNNNNNNNNNNNNNNNNNNNNNNNNNNNNNNNNNNNNNNNNNNNNNNNNNNNNNNNNNNNNNNNNNNNNNNNNNNNNNNNNNNNNNNNNNNNNNNNNNNNNNNNNNNNNNNNNNNNNNNNNNNNNNNNNNNNNNNNNNNNNNNNNNNNNNNNNNNNNNNNNNNNNNNNNNNNNNNNNNNNNNNNNNNNNNNNNNNNNNNNNNNNNNNNNNNNNNNNNNNNNNNNNNNNNNNNNNNNNNNNNNNNNNNNNNNNNNNNNNNNNNNNNNNNNNNNNNNNNNNNNNNNNNNNNNNNNNNNNNNNNNNNNNNNNNNNNNNNNNNNNNNNNNNNNNNNNNNNNNNNNNNNNNNNNNNNNNNNNNNNNNNNNNNNNNNNNNNNNNNNNNNNNNNNNNNNNNNNNNNNNNNNNNNNNNNNNNNNNNNNNNNNNNNNNNNNNNNNNNNNNNNNNNNNNNNNNNNNNNNNNNNNNNNNNNNNNNNNNNNNNNNNNNNNNNNNNNNNNNNNNNNNNNNNNNNNNNNNNNNNNNNNNNNNNNNNNNNNNNNNNNNNNNNNNNNNNNNNNNNNNNNNNNNNNNNNNNNNNNNNNNNNNNNNNNNNNNNNNNNNNNNNNNNNNNNNNNNNNNNNNNNNNNNNNNNNNNNNNNNNNNNNNNNNNNNNNNNNNNNNNNNNNNNNNNNNNNNNNNNNNNNNNNNNNNNNNNNNNNNNNNNNNNNNNNNNNNNNNNNNNNNNNNNNNNNNNNNNNNNNNNNNNNNNNNNNNNNNNNNNNNNNNNNNNNNAUUCUUUGAUCUCUCAAGUUUUAGAAUUAUUAUGUUUUCAUUAUCUUCAAGUUUCAAAAGGAUUUCAAUGAUUGGGUUUUGAUUUCUAAUUUCAGAAAAUCAAAUAAGUGAUUUGAUAUCUUUUUAGUAUUUUCAUUCUCUUAAAAUCAACCUUAAUAUGAACUUUAUUAUCAUGUUGUAUAUAUUAUAUUAUGUCUCUUGAUUGGAAAGGGAAUUUGCUAUUAUAUAACUAUUAAUGAAAAAUUAUAAUAUCCAUUUCUUGAAGUGAAUGUGAGAAAUGAGCUGUUAAUAAAAAAAUUAUAAAUUUGUCAAUUCCCUGAAGUGAAUGCGACAUCAUUUAAUAUUAUGAUCAUGGUCAUGAAUCUAUCUAUUUCCUAAAGUGAAUGUCACAUCAUUUAAUAAUUAUGAUUAUGGAUAUGGAAGAGGUCGUUAUAAUAAUUUACACUAUCACUAUUUUAAUUCUAAUUAUAAUUUUGCCACCAGUAGUGGAUAAUAAUUUUACCAUCAGAAUCUAAGAAUAAUUUUACCACCAGAAGUGGAUGGAUAAUUUUACUAUCAGAAUCUAAAGAUAAUUUUGCUACCAGAAGUGGAUGGAUAAUUUACCACAAGUAGUGGAUGAAUGUCAUCAUCUACUAAAAAAUGGAUAAUCCAUCAUAAGUGGAUAACCUAUCAUAUGUUGAUCACCCACCAAAAGUGGAUGUAUACUUGUAACCUACCACAAAUAGAUGAAAACUUUCAAUGCACCAAAAGUAAAUAGAUACCUUAAACCACUAACCCACUAGAAGUGGAUAACUAAUCAAAAAGUGGAUGAAUACCUGUAACCCACUAAAAGUGGAUAAAUAAUGAAAAGAAUAAAAGAAAUAUAGAAAACGUAUUCUUAUUGAUGUGGCAUGAAAGAUCAUUGGUCAUAUACUUGUUGUACGUCUUAAAUUUUAUCAAGCAUCACUGAAAAUUAAAACAUCUUGUGAUAAUUUUAAUCAUGGCCAAGUUGUACAGUACAUCAAGAUAUUUGUCCAUUUUGAAGGAGGAAUUGAUUACAUGAUUGGUAACAAAAAUAUGUAUUAUUGAUUUUCUUGUCCUGACAAAGGAAUUGAUCAUUCGAUUGGUAAUAAAAAUAUCUGAGAAUGAACUUAAUAGUAAUUGGUACAUUUAGUAUAACUAUAUUAUGAAGAUGCUUUAAUAUGUUUAAAUGAUAUGUUCUUAUUAUGUGUUUUAAUUCUAUAUUUAAUAUUCUUUUAUGUUAAUUUGUAAGUUUCUUAUUGUAUAUAUUUAUGGAUAUUCAUAUUGUUAGAUCUAAGAUCUAUAAUGUAUAUAUAUAUGUCUAGCAGGCAUUGCUAUAACACACAUUAUAUUUAAAGAUAAAAAAUAUUUUUUCUACUUGACAAUGAAAAAAAAAGUCAAUGUCAAUUCAAUAUCUGGUAGUCUAAGAUUAAUUGAAGGCUUCAGAAGAGCUAAUAUUUUACUAGCUUGAGGAAUAGAGUAAUAGAGGAUGUGUUAUUUUCUAUUAAGUCUCAAAGAAGUUUAUUAAGUUUUAAAAAUAUUUGUUUAAAUAGAUAUCAUAUUGAGACACCAAAUGAAAGAGACACUUCAUACCUCCAUGUUACAUCCAUUAUCUCAAGUAGAAAGUAUGUGUUAAAAAAAAUUACUCGCUCUGUUCUUAGAAUUAAACUAUCAAAUAUUAGAAUAAUUGAACCCAUAGUAAAAUUUGAUAUCAAAUAGAUAUAAAAUAUUAGAAGUGUUGCUGGAAAAUUUGAGUCAAGACCAUAUCAAUUCCAAAAAUUUGGAGGGAUUGACGGCUCUAGAUAUCGUAUUAGAACGCCAAAGGAAUGAAAGGCAAGUGGAUAAUAGAGAGAUUAUGGAUAUGUUAAUGAAAGCUAGAGGUUUGCGUGGUUCCUUGCUUCCCAAAAAUCCCAACUCUUCAAUCAGCAUCAAUUCAUUCAGAUCAAAGAUAUCAUAUUUUCAAAAAUUUACAACAAUGGUAGCUUGUGGAAAGAAGGGUAUAUCAAAUGAGAUGCGUAACACAUUUCUAGCAGUGAUUGUGCUAAUUAUAACAGCCACUUACGAUGCGUCAUUAAAUCCUCCUAAGAAGGGUGACAAUCUUUUAUCCCAGAAUUACCAAAUCUCUAGUUUUUCUAGAUUUUCGCAAGAAGCCAAUCUUCCUAUGGGUGGCCAUAAUCCUUCGCAAGACCUCACAGAUUUAACAGAUGUAUCUUCUGCUAGAAUUCGACCUCAUGCUCAAACAUGAAAAUAAUAAAUAAUUAAAAUAGUAAUGCAGUAAAAAAAAUAAAAUAAUAUUUAAUCAGCGAAACAGUUGAAUCCUACAAUAUCAAUAUUUGUGUUUUUUCAUGUAACUUUUAAAUGAAUAAUGAACACUCAUAAGUUUAAGAGUUACAUACCUUACUCUGGAUAUUGUAAUCAAGAGCCAAUUAAAUCUAAAUCUUUGCUUCUUCACGUUUAGGAUUUGUCAAAUCUUUAGCCACCCAAGUGUUUGGUCUCUAACAAUAAUCCAGACAGUGACUGAAUAAGACCUUCUCAAAGGUAGGAUUUUUACUUGUGCUAACAAAUAUUGUUUCUAAAACAAAAAGACCAAAAAUUCUUGCUAACUCUUAUUUUUGUCAGGCAAAGAAAACUAUUUUCUUUCCUUAUUUUAUGAAACAGCUGAGAAGUGGUUUUUGAGGCUUCAGGUUUUUAGUUUGCUAAUAUAACAUAUUUAUAUAGCCAAACUAAUACGUAAUCCUAAAUACAACAGUUGUAUUUUAAUUUAAUUAAGUCUCUGAAAACUUAAUUAAUUUUUCACUUUAUUUUGGUUUCUUUUAAUUAAGUCUAACUUAAUUAAUUAUUUUUAUUUAAUCUCAAUCAUGUCACUUAAUGUGUGCGAUCCAUUAGGCUUCUAACAUGUUGGCAAUAAAUAUAAGUCAUAAUCAAAUAUCAAUUUGAUAAUUAAUUUAUAUUUAUAGAUCAUGAGCGGCAUCUAGCAAUACAUCAUGACUACCAAAAUGUUAGAGAGUCAAUUAAAGAAUUUGACAAAGCCCUUUAGUGAUAAGCCUCUCAGUGCAAUACGGUCUUUUCAUCAAAUAUCUCGGAUAUGUCAUUAAGCAUGGCUCAGUGUCUACUUCUAACAUUCCAUAUUAGUUCCCAUAAUUCAUGACUAACCUUAUGAAUUUAGAAAACUAACUUUUCUCAAAUUCAUCAUGCUUUGGCUAAAGACUUUAUACAAGUUAAUCAAGAAUUGAGAACAAGUGAGAUACAUCCCCUCAUAUCAUUUAGGGUGAUGAAUUAUCUCUUGACCACUCAUUCACCUUCGCAUGUUUCAUGGCAUACCCAAAAACACCAUGUUUAGGCAUCUAGUUGCUUCCAAACCCGUAUGAGUAAAAUCAAAGUAUGUCAUUCUCCAUACAAGAUGACUUGGUGUCUCAAGUCCAAGGACUAGUUGCACAACUAUCACAUGAGAAUAUUUUUCAUAGACACUUGAGUGAAAUACCAAAUGAAGUUCUCAUAGCAGGUCAUAUUCAGUGAACUUAUUCUUUAACAAGCACCUACAUGUUAUCCUCAAGUAUCCCAUAUACUUCAAUCUAUGAAAUCGAUUACUUACUUCCCAAGUAAGGAGGCUUAACAUGUACCAGUCUUUGAGCAUUGUCAAUGCCUUGUCUUGACAACACAAUGACCAGGAACAAUUUUAGGAAUAUGGCUUUGAUGCAUAGUGAUCUCAUAAUUGUAACAAGUUUACAAUUCCCUUACAAGGCCUUUAUAUUCCAUAGGUUUCAUCCAAUUAGUUCUUAAUAACUCCUUAUUAUUGCACUAACAUGAAGGAAAACCUCUAUCACAUAUAAUUAUGCAAUUAAAUAUGCAUUAAAUUGACAAUAUAUAUUUCUUGACCAAUCCAAUUGGCUCAAGGGCAUAUACCAACAUCUUCCAUGUUUUGGUUAUACAACACUUUAUCCUUUUUGGUGGCACUGGGGUUAACAGCAUAUCUCUUCCCAAGUCACACAAUUUGUUUGUUUCUUCUCAUAACACUUUCCGUUUUUGGCUCCUAUUACAUGUUUUUAGUAGCUACAGUCUCAUGGAAACUGCAAUAUCUUAUUUCUCUUAAAUCUUUACACUUAUCGUAUCAUGCUCUCUCCAUCAUUAACUACAGCUUGUCAACAUUAAUAGUUAUCCUGGUGGCUUACAGGAUUUUCGGUUAUGUUUUCUGUAGAUUCGUACCUAGAAGAAAGAUUUUUUGCCUCGCAGAACUUCUUUCCUUUCUAUCUAUUGCUUCUUGUAUCAUUACUCCAACUGUGCUAAAUGUCAAAUCCAUAGUAAAGUUUAAUUUCUAUUAGUGUAAGCCCUGCAAGCCAAUCAAUUUUGUACUUGUAAAACAUUUCAUUAAUUAGUUAUAUUUCAUAUUAAAUACAUUAUGGAUAUUUUAUAUAAUAUAUGAGGUAUUUCUUUAUCCAUGAGUUUAUUUAUAAUGAGUUAUGAGAGACUUAUGUAGAUAAAGUCCUUCUAACAUAAUGGCCUUGCAAGAAAUUACUUAUGCAUCAAAGCCUUGUUCCUAAAUAUGUUUCUAGGCAUUUUAUUGUCAAGCAUAAGGACAUUGACAAUGCUCAACACAUGUUAAGCUUUCUUACUUUGGAAGUAAGCAAUUAAUCUCAUAGGUUGAAGCAUGUGAGAUACUUGGAGAUAGUAUGUGAGUGCUUGUUAAGAAACAAGUUCACUGAACAUGACCCGCUAUGAGAGUUCCAUUUGGUGUUUCACUCAAGUGUCUAUAAAAAUACUCUCAUGUGUCAGUAGUGCAAAUAAUCUUUAGACUUGUGAUACUAGGUCAUCUUGUAUGUGAAUUGUCAUGCUUUGAUUUUACCUCUAUGGGUUUGGAGGUGACCAAAUGUUUAAACAAGGUGCUUUUGGGUACGACAUGAAGCAUGCGAAGAUGAAUGAGUAAUCCAUAGAGGAUUCAUCACCCCAAGUGAAUUGAAGGGGAUAUAUCUCAUUUGCUCCUGACUUAUAUUGAUUAAAAAUCCUUGACCUGGACAAUAUUAAUAAGUCAAUAUAGAAGUUGCAAGGUUAAUAUGGAUAAGUUAGAAAGUAGACACCGAACCAGGCUUUUUAUCUAUCUGCUAUAUAUGAUGAAAAGAUUGAAUUACACUGAGAUAUUAUACACUGAAAGGUUAGUCAAAUCAUAUUGACUCUCUUGACAUUUGAGUGGUCAUUAUGUAUUACUAGAUGCCACUCAUGAUCUAUAAAUAUAAAUAUAAAUUCUUAAUUGAAUUAAUUUAUUUUUAUUGACAAAAUGUUGGGAACCUAAUGGAUCACACACAUAAAGUGAAUUGUUGAAAUUAAUUUGAGUUCAAUUGGAUGUGAUCUAAUUGAUUUUACAGAGGCUUAAUCCAAUUAAGUAUUGGGUUAAAUCAAAUAUGAUUUGAUGAAAUAUCAAAUAAAGGCCCAAUUAGCCCAAGACAUUUUAUAAUCCUUAUUAGAUAUAAAGUAGGUCAAUUCACUCUAGAAAAAAAUCCCUUAGCCGCCUCUUGAAUACAAAAAAGAGUUUUGUUUUAUUUUCUAAUGUGUUGAGACAAGAUCACAGCCAAAAGAAGAGAAACACAAGGGAGCUCAAAGUUGAGAGUUUGCUAGCACAAACUUCGACUUGGGGAUUUACACACUCUUAGUGAAGAGAUUUCGGUAAAUUACUGUGUGGAUCACCAUUAGAGGCAGGAUAAUUGUGCUGCUAUGAUUUGAUAAGUCCUAGUUGGUGUACAAAAGUUAAAAANNNNNNNNNNNNNNNNNNNNNNNNNNNNNNNNNNNNNNNNNNNNNNNNNNNNNNNNNNNNNNNNNNNNNNNNNNNNNNNNNNNNNNNNNNNNNNNNNNNNNNNNNNNNNNNNNNNNNNNNNNNNNNNNNNNNNNNNNNNNNNNNNNNNNNNNNNNNNNNNNNNNNNNNNNNNNNNNNNNNNNNNNNNNNNNNNNNNNNNNNNNNNNNNNNNNNNNNNNNNNNNNNNNNNNNNNNNNNNNNNNNNNNNNNNNNNNNNNNNNNNNNNNNNNNNNNNNNNNNNNNNNNNNNNNNNNNNNNNNNNNNNNNNNNNNNNNNNNNNNNNNNNNNNNNNNNNNNNNNNNNNNNNNNNNNNNNNNNNNNNNNNNNNNNNNNNNNNNNNNNNNNNNNNNNNNNNNNNNNNNNNNNNNNNNNNNNNNNNNNNNNNNNNNNNNNNNNNNNNNNNNNNNNNNNNNNNNNNNNNNNNNNNNNNNNNNNNNNNNNNNNNNNNNNNNNNNNNNNNNNNNNNNNNNNNNNNNNNNNNNNNNNNNNNNNNNNNNNNNNNNNNNNNNNNNNNNNNNNNNNNNNNNNNNNNNNNNNNNNNNNNNNNNNNNNNNNNNNNNNNNNNNNNNNNNNNNNNNNNNNNNNNNNNNNNNNNNNNNNNNNNNNNNNNNNNNNNNNNNNNNNNNNNNNNNNNNNNNNUACUCUUUUAAUCAAUUGCUGUAAGUGACCUUACAAUUACAUAUUAAUUUAUCAUUAUUCUAAUCCUUCACAUCUCACUAUGUCUACUUGACGGAGCCAACUUUUUUUUUUUUUGAGGUGAAACCAUUCCGGAUUUCCACCAUCCUCUCUUAACUACUCCUUUAGUUGCUGAUUCGAAAUAGUGAAUUGGAAUCCAUAUUCUUUAAAUUAAAAGAAAAUUAUUUGAUAAAAGAAAUAAAAAAUAAAUUAUGACGUGAUAAUACGUAAUCUUUUAUAAGACUCUAGAAAGUAAAUGAUAGUGGAAAUUUUGAUUUUCCAAGUACUCAUCAACUUCCUAUUACUCCGUUUUUUCUAAUUGAGUACACUAAGGAGUUCACACAUCUCGCUCGGUGCUUUACUUCAUCAUUGCAGGCAACUAUUCUAAGGGUACAUCAACUUUAGUUCUUAGCCACAUAAGUGCUCUUUAACCAUGCAAGGCAUAUUUCUUUUUUUUUUUAUGAUUAGUUGCUUGACUUAAUUCUUCCAGAAUUAUGAGUAGAUUGCUCUUGUUGGCUAAUUAUAUGCCGAUUCUGUUUCCUUUCUACAUGAUCCUCUUUUUCUUUAUUCUUUUAACUGCUCUAAUAUUUUCUUGCAAAUUUCAUCAGUUUUCAGUAGCCUGGAUAUUGCUGCAUAAUUUAUUAUCCCCAGCAUAAUGGAUUGGAGGAUGAGUGAGGCUGCUCAAACAGGAAACAUCAACGUAUUGUAUGAAUUAAUCCAGGAAGAUCCAUAUGUUUUGGAGCGUAUUGAUCAGGUGCCUUUUCUUGAUACACCUUUACAUAUAGCAGCCUGUGCUGGGCAUGUUGAUUUUGUGAUGGAAAUGAUGAACUUAAAGCCAUCAUUUGCAAGAAAGCUAAACCAAGCUGGGUUUAGUCCCAUGCACUUAGCUUUGCAAGAUGAAAAAAUCCAAGCAGUGCUUCGACUCCUAAAGUUUGAUAAAGGCCUUGUUCGUGUCAAAGGGAGAGAGGGCAUGACUCCUCUGCAUCAUGUAGUUGGAACUGGAAACCUUGAUCUAUCGAUCAGGUUUCUUGAGGUUUGCCCCGAGGCUAUUGAAGCUGUGACUGUUCGAGAUGAGACUGCUUUCCAUCUCACAGUCAAAAACGACAUGUUCGAAGCUUUUGAAGUCUUGAUAGGAUGGCUCCGAAGGAGCCGCCAUGAAGCUGCCCAACGAUGGGAAAACAAGCUACUGAGUUGGGCGGACAUUCAAGGCAAUACUAUUUUGCACAUUGCAGCCAUCAGAGAUAGUCCUCAGGUAUGCUACCUAUUUCAAUGACUCCAUUUAUAUGAUGCCAGAGAUCUAGUUUUAUGAAUAUUAAUUUGUUACUUUACCAAUUAUCAGGUUGUAGAAGUGUUGCUGGAAAAUUUGAGUCAAGACCAUAUCAAUUCCUGGUACUAGUAGGUUUGGAAAUAACAGCAAUCUACCGAGCCAUUUGUAAUACGCCAGAUGGUGUUCGACAAGCUGAAGCAGGUUCUAGUGAGGUUCCAAGUGGAGUAGGCAGCAAUCAUGGGUCCAGAUAGUUUUCUUUUAUUUUAUAUUCCAAACACUGCAACAUUUCUCACCACGCUUUUCCUUACGGUUCUGUUUUAAUAAUUAAUUUUUUUGACGAAGUGGUUCUCUUACCGUUGUUGCCAUUAGUCGUUUACUAUGUCAUGUCCACGCUAGUCAUAACCCCAACUGCAAAGUUUACUUGUUUCAUUUGGCUUACUUUGGUGCUUGCUAUUGCUUUUGGGUGUUGGUUAUUGGGAGCUUAUUUAUAUCGGUUGCUGAAAAUAAAGAAGGUUAAUAGGAGCUCAAGAGAACUCAAAGUCUCAGUGUUAUUUUGAAAGGGAUGGAAACAUACACAUCCUUUAGCAUUAGCCUUUGCAUAGAUAGACGUUUUCAACAUAAAAUGUCGAGAUGAAUUUGAAAAUUUUGAUUGAAUUUUUUGUGAUUUAUAGAGAAAUGUUCAUCUUCAUACCCCCUGUCGCCAUCCAUGGCAUCUUUCUGCUAAUUAUUUUCAUUUUCAUCAAAAAUUAAAAACGUUAACUUUAAGUGCUUGUUCAUAAUUAGAUUCAUGUCUUGUUUAGGAUUGAAUUAAUAUGUUGACACAAGUUUUUUUUUUUCGUUGAAUGGUGCAAUCUAAUCUAAUUCAAUAAGUUCAAAAAAUUUUGUAAGAUAUUUUUUAAACACAAACAUAAGAUCAUCUAUUAAUUACAUCAAUUGAUAUUAAAAACACAUCACUUACUAUUAUUAAUGUAUAAUUAUUUAAUAAUAACUUUAUAAGUAUGUAAAAUUUAUCAAAUAUUAAUAUAAAGUUUAUAUCUAAAUAAUAGAUUUUUUCAUGAUUUUUCCUUAUAAUUAGAAUAUUUAAUAUUAUAGAAAAAUUCUCGUUAUCGACCCACUAAGCUUAAGCCUACACAAAUGCAUGAAGACAAGCAUGUUUGUGAUAAAAAUUUUCACUUUUCUACUCUGUCCUUUGUUCAAUUGAUCCUUGAAGAUGAGAGACACUGAGAGGGAAGAAUGUAAGAAGAAGAAAAUCUAUCUUAAUCCUUAUCAAUUGAUUUUUCACCAUACUUUUAUUGUUAAGUAAAUUUGGAUGAGUUGAGUUCGGAUGCUUAAAUAUGAUAUAGCCACAAGUGGUAUCCAGCUUUCAAUAAAUAUUUUAAAACCAGAAUAAAAUAUUUCAAGAGAUAUUUUAAAUAUGAUAUGCUUAAAUAUUGUAUGGGUUCCCCAUACAAAAAUAUUUAUUUGACCGUAUUGAAAAGGACUUUUAGAUUGCAACUUGAAAUAAACAUUUAUCUAUAUAGAAAUAAAAUAUUAAUUUAUUCUUAUGGUAGGAACAAGAAGAUUGACUCACAAACAUCGACAAUGACAGUUUAAAAAUAUAAUCAAUAAAGAAUUUUGGUUAAAACCCAGUAUACUGACCGUUUCUGCGCGCGGAAAGUUUCUUUCACAAAGACAACUCCACCAAUCAGGCAAGCAAUAUGGUACGCACAAGCAGAUUUGGUCUGACAAAAGCAGAUAGCACUUGCGCUUUUGACCAAAUUAGGCAAUUUCUUACUUGGAAAAUUUCCUUGGAACCUCCAAGAGCACCUCAUGUGUAGUUUGUUUACUAAUUAAGUGUCAAACGCUUGAAACACACAGUCUGCGAGAUCAUUCUGUCAAUUUCCUUUUGUUUAUAGCUCUUGUUAUCCUUGUCAGAAUUCUCAAGAUGGAUGAGCUUUAUGAGAGGCUGCGAAGGGCUUCCCAAGCAGGAAAUAUCGAUGCAUUAUAUGCAUUAAUUCGAGAAGAUGCAUAUCUUUUGGAAGGCAUUGAUCAGAUACCAUUCUUUGAUACCCCACUGCACAUAGCUGCAGCUGCCGGGCACACUGAUUUUAUCCAUGGAGAUAAUGAACUUGAAGUUAUCAUUAGCUCUAAAGCUGAACAAUGAUGGCUUUAGCCCUAUUCACCUUGUCUUGCAAAAUGGGCAAGAAGAGACAGUCGUUGAUCUCCUGGGAAUGGAUAAAGAUCUCGUUCUAAAUUUAAAAAAAAAUAUUAAAAGGACUAAAAUAAAAACAUUUUUCUAAAUUUCAAUGGAAGUUAAAUGUGGACAUUCAAUAAAAUUUCAAGCCUUUAAGCUUUCUGUCAAGCAUAAUGGCUUAAAACCACUGCCCUGCAUUUACAAAGAAACUCUAUCUUAAUCCUUAUCAAUUGAUUUUUCUACCAUACUUUUAUUGUUAAGUAAAUUUGGAUGAGUUGAGUUCCGAUGCUUGAAUAUGAUAUAGCCACAAGUGCUAUCCAGCUUUCAAUAGAUAUUUUAAAACCAGAAUAAAGUAGGAGAAAGCAAGAGUUAUCGCUUCAGUGAAUAUUACUAUGUUUGUUGACCAAUUUAUCAUUAUUCUAAGCCUUAUCACCUUACUAUGUUUACUGGAUGGAGGGGAUCUGCUGAACUUUUUAUUUUUAUUGAGUGAAACCAAUCCGAAUGUCUCCAAUGCUCUCUUAGUUAUAUGUGUCUUAAUAUCUUCUUCUAUUUUCAGCACGUCUUUGUAAUUUGGCUCUCCUCAUAUGGAUGAAAGUUUGAAGAGAGCUGCACGAGAAGGAAAUAUUGUUGAAUUAUAUGCAUCAAUCCAAAGAGAUGGAAAUGUUUUGAGGCAGAUUGAUGAGAUGGAGUUCGUUGACACUCCAUUACACAUAGCGGCAGCUGAAGGGUGCUUUGAUUUUGCCAUGGAGGUAAUGAUCUUAAAGCCGGCAUUCGCUAGAAAGCUAAACCAAGGAGGCUUAAGCCCCAUUCACCUUGCAGUGGAAAAGGGGCACAAAGAGCUGGCGCUACAUCUCAUGCAAAAUGAUAAAAAUCUUGUCCGUGUCAAAGGAAGGCUGGGUGAGACUCCUUUGCACUAUGCAGUAACUGGAGCAGAAAACCUUGACCUCUUGGCCAGAUUUCUAGAGGCUUGCCCUGAAUGCAUCCGAGAUAUGGCAACUACAAACCAGACUGCUUUGCACAUUGCAACGAGAAACGAUAACGUAGAAGCUCUUGAACUUAUAUGUCGGAUGCUUAGGAAGAGUGACUAUUGUGAGGAUGUGGUGAACCAGAAAGACAGGAAUGGCGACACUGCCUUGCACAUCGCUGCGCGCAAUAAUCAACCCAAGGUCCGAUCUCUUCCCCUCUUAAUUAUUUUUACUUUUACCAAAAAAGAAUAGAUUCUUUAAUUUGGGAUUGUAUUUCACGGUCAAUUGAUUGUGGCUUUUGUUUGUCUCAAACUCUCUAUCAAACAGAUGCUCAAACUGCUAUUAAAAUGCAAGGCUGAUAAGCUUGCGACCAAUCAGGCUGGUAGGACGGCACUGGCUAUUGCCUGCGAACUUAAUAACAGAGAGAGCAUUAAGAUUCUGCGUGGUUGGCGAAGUGCAAAAGUUUUAAGCUAUCAAUAUAAGAUUCGGAAACAAAUGUUUAAGACUGUGACAAAGGCAUCAGAAGUAAUUUUUCAAGGUAUGGAUAGUAUAUCAAGCGAGGAUCGCAAUGCCUUGCUAGUAGUUUUAGGUUUGCUUCUAACAGCUACCUACCAAACUAGUAUUAGCCCGCCGGGUAGUGUUAGGCAAGGUGAUGGCUCCUCAAACUCCGAUUUCACUGUAGGCCAAUCAGUCAUGGAUGAAGUUAAUUUCCUUCUUUUCUAUAUUCCAGCCUGUACUGUCUUCAUAGUAGCGUUUUUCCUAACAUUGGGCCUCCUUAGACCUUUCCCCCAUGGUUUCAAGACUGCUCUUCAAGUACUACUUGCAUUUCUUGCUAUAUCUUUCAACGAAGCAAUAAGUUUCAUAGCACCAACUGAUAAAGCGACGGAUGUUAUCAAUUUGUUUUCAGUGUUGGUUUUUGUUUUAAUGAUGGUCAUGUGUGUUGCUUAUCGGGUAUCAAAAGUUAGCGUUUUAUUUCUAGGAUGCUGGUUAGUGCCUGAUCUGUAUGGCCCAUUGCAGAUAGGAGCCUAUUUAAUUAUAGGGUGUUGGUUAUUUUUUAGUCUAUAUGAUCCAUUUUGGAUAGGAUCCAUUGGAAUUGUAGGAUGCAUUUUAGUACUAUAUGAGUUUAAUGACAGCUGGAUGGUAAUUGCCAUAGUUUCAGUACCCAUGGUAUUACUUGCUUUGUUUCUAUUGUGGUUAGAAGUAGUGCAAUGAGAACGUUGGCUGACAUUUCACCCCUCAAGGCAUACGGACACCUAAUGUUGAAUGAGGAUCUAAACGAUGGCGGCUCCGGCAUCUAGAUAUUUUUUAUUUCCGGUUUUGUAUCUUUUUUGUUGUAUCAUAAUUUACCACCCAUAAAUUCAAUUCAUCUUGUCUAAAAUCAUCUCCACUUUUUAGUUUAUCUUUUUAUUGUACUUUAUUUCGCUUAUAAUUUGUGCUGAUAUGUUAUUAAAACUCUUUUUGUUUUAAAUUGAACUUUAGGCUUUCACUCAUCAUAAAAAUUUCAAAAAAUUUCUGAUGAUAUUAGCAUUUAUUGUAAAUUAUUUUAUGUAUAGUAUUUUCGUUUUAAAAUUAUGAUUUCAUUGAGAAUGGAAUAACUCUCCCAAGCAAAAACAAAAACGGGGGGUUUCAAGCCUUUAAGCUUUCUGUCAAGCAUAAUGGCUUACAACCACUGCUCUGCAUUUACAAAGAAAGACUAACAGCAGAGCGUGAAUAAAAGGAUAAAUCUGGGUUCCCCAUACAAAAAUAUUUAUUUGACCGUAUUGAAAAGGACUUUUAGAUUGCAGCUUGGAAUAAACAUUUAUCUAUACAGAAAUAAAAUAUUAAUUUAUUCUUAUAGUAAGAACAAGAAGAUUGACUCACAAACAUCGAAAAUGACAGUUUAAAAAUAUAAUCAAUAAAGAAUUUUGGUUAAAACCCAGUAUACUGACCAUUUCUGCGCGCGGAAAGUUUCUUUGACAAAGACAACUCCACCAAUCAGGCAAGCAAUAUGGUACGCACAAGCAGAUUUGGUCUCACAAAAGCAGAUAGCACUUGUGCUUUUGACCAAAUUAGGCAAUUUCUUACUUGGAAAAUUUCCUUGGAACCUCAAAGAGCACCUCAUGUGUAGUUUGUUUACUAAUUAAGUGUAUCAAACCCUUGAAACACAUUGUCUGCCUCAUCAUUCUCCCAAUUUCCUUUUGUUUAUAGCUCUUGUUAUCCUUGUCAGAAUUCUCAAGAUGGAUGAGCGUUAUGAGAGGCUGCGAAGGGCUUCCCAAGCAGGAAAUAUCGAUGCAUUAUAUGCAUUAAUUCGAGAAGAUGCAUAUCUUUUGGAAGGCAUUGAUCAGAUACCAUUCUUUGAUACCCCACUGCACAUAGCUGCAGCUGCCGGGCACACUGAUUUUAUCAUGGAGAUAAUGAACUUGAAGUUAUCAUUAGCUCUAAAGCUGAACAAUGAUGGCUUUAGCCCUAUUCACCUUGUCUUGCAAAAUGGGCAAGAAGAGACGGUCCUUGAUCUCCUGGGAAUGAAAAAAGAUCUCGUUCUAAAUUUAAAAAAAAUAUUAAAAGGAUUAAAAUAAAAACAUUUUUCUAAAUUUCAAUGGAAGUUAAAUGUGGACAUUCAAUAAAAUUUCAAGCCUUUAAGCUUUCUGUCAAGCAUAAUGGCUUAAAACCACUGCCCUGCAUUUACAAAGAAAGACUAACAGCCGACCUUGAAAAAAAGGACAAACCUGGUUCCCUAAACAGAAAUAAAAAAUUUUUUUUAUCUAAAUUUAUCGAAAGAGUAUUUAAAUUAAAUUCAAUACAAUUUUACUUAAAAGAUUAAAGAAUAUCAUGAGUAUUAAAAUUAUAUUAUUAUUGUUUAAGAUUUGAGUUUUGUUCAAUGUAAAGUCAAUUCUCAUUUUGAUAUCACUUUUACUAUGGAAAGUUGAUAUGUUGUUAGUAUGCUGAUAGUUAUCAUCGGGCAAAAAUUGCACAUGUGUAAUUGUCUACGUAAUCAAGUUUUUUGUGUUAUUUUUUUUAAUUUUCUCAUUCUUGAAUUGUAAUUUAACUAAAAUGAUUUAAUUUUAACUAAAUUAGUAUAUCUUGAUUUAUAUAUCUUGCUGAAAACAGUUCCUUCAAUGCUGUUGUUUUCGCAUUUCAGCAACAAUAAGCCGAAACUCAUCUAGCGAUGCUCAUUCGGUUUUUUUUUUUUUUUCAAUUUAGUGUAUUGAUUGAGUCUAGUUUCUUCUUCUUUUAUGUCAAUAUUCUCGCUUUGCACUAUUGCAUGUAUUGUGCACAUUUCUUACAUCUUUGUCACUGUCAAGUGUUAAGAGCCACCACAAGAGGGAGUCUCUUUAUUACUUAAGAGGGUGAGUCCAUGUGCCGGAAAGUAGUACAAAACUCAGAAAUAGAUGCCCCAUUUCUUGGGAAAGACGAGAAAAGACUACCCUCCGCCGCCACUCAUACACAUCCACCCAUGUUGAAAAGACAAUUGAAGCUUAACAUUUGGUAAUAAUUAACGUAAGGGACCAUAACAUUUGGAUCCAUUUCUUCAAUAGUGCACCGUUUCUAGCUUCAGAUCUACCAUGCACAGCCUUCUAUAGUCUUUGUAAAGUGCACAUUGUACCUUAAUUGACAAGAUGCAUUUUCCUAUCAUUAGCUGCACCAUACCAUAAGAACCUCCUUUGAUUCUAUCGAGGGCUUCCUUCACACUACAAGGGAUUUGAAAUAAGGACAUAAAAGAAAUGUGUAAACUUGCCAUAAUAGAUCUUAUCAACGUGACUCUCUCACUAAUCAACAGCAACUUGACUUCCAACUAACCAAUCUAGAUUCAAAUCUAUCAAUGAUAAGCUUCCAAACCUUCACAACUUUGUCAUUUGCACCUAAAGGUAGCCUCAAAUAGGAGUUAGGGAGGUUAUCCACCUUGCAUUGGAUUUUUGAAGCCCAUAAGUCCAAUAACCUUUAUUCAAAACUAAUACCAAAAAUUUUUUUUUUAAGUUGAUUCUCGAUCCGAUAUCACUUGAAAUCAUAUUAAUAUAUUUUUUAAUAUUUGUAAAAGUUUUAAGUCAAAUUUAUAUAAAAUAACUAUAUCAUAUUAUAGAUUAGAUAUUACCAAACCACUAUAUCCAUCUGCAAUGCCCUAAAGCACCCAUUAGUGAUAACUUUUUUUUGUAACUUUUAGGCAUUCACAACAAUAUUAAAUAACAGUAUCGACAAAGGGCAUCUUGGUCAGAGUCCUUUUCUUCUUAUUAUAUGUUUUUUUUAGUUCCAGUAUAAAUUUUUUUUGAAAGUUAAAGAGGAAUUUCAUUAAACAAGGAGGGAAGAAGAUACUUUCCCUCUUCCCAAAAACAGAAGUCAUCCUUAUCUACAACACACCGAAUAUUGUUCCAGUAUAAAAAAAUACCCCUCAUACUAUCCUUUCUCAUAAGAUUAAUAAUCUCAUUAGCUAUAAGUGAAAAAUUUGUAAUUUAUCUCUCAUUAAUGAAAGCAAAUUGAUUGCAUCCAAUCACCACCGCUGCUGCAAGUCUCAAACGGUUUGCUAAGAUUCUAGCAAGAAUUUUAUACACACUUUCCAUUUGAUUAAUUGGUUUAUAAUUGCUUUACCCCAUAAGACACUCAUGCUUUGGAAAGAGAAUUAUAAAAGACGAGUUUAUGUAACUAUUAAAAGAACACAAAUUAUGGAAUUCAUGCUAAAAUUUCAUCACUUCCCCUUUUAGAUUGUUCUAUUGAUUUUAGAAGAAGUGCAGAUUAAAAUGAUCCGAUCUUCAUACUUUUUUUUUUUGUUUGCUUAGUCAACAAAGAUUUUUAUUAAUACCAACAUGUUUUACAAGCUUUGUUAUCCCAAUUAAGAGGGAAUAUUGUUACAAGAACCGUCCUAAACAUUCAUUGAUAGUUUGACCAAAAUCAUCGGUAAGCAACAAGAUAAAAAAUAUUCCAUUUAUCACCAAGUAUAAAAUAACUCAGUUCUUGGCUAACGAACCUGCCAAGAAAUUUGCGUCCUCAAUUUCCAAUCCCAGACUCAUGGCUAAGCUUUAUAAAUCUAAAACAUUAAUGAUAAUUGUAACUCGGAUCAGACUAAAUAUAUCAAGUGACACACCAUGCAUUCCUGGUACUAGUAGGGCUGGAAAUAACAGCAAUCUACCGAGCCAUUUGUAAUACGCCAUAUGCUGUUCGACAAGCUGAAGCAGGUUCCAGUGAAGUUCCAAGUGGAGUAGGCAGGUCAAUCAUGGAUCCAAAUAGUUUUCUUUUAUUUUAUAUUCCACACACUACAACAUUUCUCACCACACUUUUUCUUACGGUUCUGUUUUAAUAAUUGGUCUUUUCGACGAAAUGGUUCUCUUACCGUUGCUGCCAUUAGCCAUUAGCUAUGUCAUGUCCACACUAGUCAUAACCCCAACUGCAAAGUUUACUUAUUAUUUCAUUUGACUUACUUUGGUGCUUGCUGUUGCGUUUGGGUGUUCGUUAUUGGGAGCUUAUCUAUAUUGGUUGCUGAAAAUAAAGAAGGUUAAUAUGAGCUCAGGAGAACUCACCGUCUCAGUGUUAUUUUGAAAGGGAUGGAAACAUACACAUCCUUUAGCAUCAGCCUUUGCAUAGAUAGACGUUUUCAGCAUAAAAUGUCGAGAUGAAUUUGAAAAUUGUGAUUGAAUUUUUUGUGAUUUCUAGAGAAAUGUUCAUCUUCAUACCCCCUGUCACCAUCCAUGGCAUUUUUGCUAAUUAUUUUAAUUUUCAUUAAGAAAUAAAAACGUUAACUUCAAAUGCUUGUUAACAAUUAAGUUCACAUCUUGCUUAGGAUUAAACUAACAAGUUGGCCCAAGCUUUUUUUUUUUUUUUAUUUUUUCGUUGAAUGGUUCGGUCUAAUCUUACUCAAUAAGUUCAGAAAGUUUUGUAAGAUAUUUUUUAAACACAAACACAACAUCAUUUAUUAAUAACAUUAGUUGAUAUUAAAAAUACAUCACUUACUAUUAUUAUUAUAUAAUCAUUUAAUAAUAAUUUUAUAAGUAUGUAAAAUUUAUCAAAUAUUAAUAUAAAAUUUAUAUCUAAGUAAUAGAUAUUUACAUGAUUAAUCUUUAUAAUUAAAAUAUUUAAUAUUAUAGAAAAAUUCUCGUUAUCGACCCACUAAGCUUAAGCCUACACAAAUGCAUGAAGACAAGCAUGUUUGUGAUAAAAAUUUCACUUUCCUACUUCGUCCUUUGUUCAAUUGAUCCCUUGAAGAUGAGAGAUACUGACAGGGAAGAAUGUAAGAAGAAGAAAAUUUAUUGUUAAGUAAAUUUGGAUAAGUUGAGUUCCGAUGCUUGAAUAUGAUAUAGCCACGAGUGCUAUCCAGCUUUCAAUAGAUAUUUUAAAACCAGAGUAAAGUAGGAGAAAGCAAGAGUUAUCGCUUCAGUGAAUACUACUUUAUCUCCACGACUACUUUUUCUCUUUGGUCACCAUUCCUGAUUGACUUUAAUUGACUGACACAACAGUGUCCUGCGCACCCUCUCUUUACUCUUUUAAUCAAAUGCUGUCAGCGGCCUUACGAUAUGCCGACCAAUUUAUCAUUAUUCUAAGCCUUAUCACCUUACCAUGUUUACUGGAUGGAGGGGAACUGCUCAAGUUUUUAUUUUUAUUAAGUGAAACCAAUCCGAAUGUCUUCAAUGCUCUCUUAGUUAUAUGUGUCUUAAUAUCUUCUUCUAUUUUCUGCACGUCUUUGUAAUUUGGCUCUCCUCAUAUGGAUGAAAGUUUGAAGAGAGCUGCACGAGAAGGAAAUAUUGUUGAAUUAUAUGCAUCAAUCCAAAGAGAUGGAAAUGUUUUGAGGCAGAUUGAUGAGAUGGAGUUCGUUGACACUCCAUUACACAUAGCCGCAGCUGAAGGGUGCUUUGAUUUUGCCAUGGAGGUAAUGAUCUUAAAGCCGUCGUUCGCUAGGAAGCUAAACCAAGAAGGCUUAAGCCCCAUUCACCUUGCAGUGGAAAAGGGGCAUAAAGAGCUGGCGCUACAUCUCAUGCAAAAUGAUAAAAAUCUGGUCCGUGUCAAAGGAAGGCUGGGUGAGACUCCUUUGCACUAUGCAGUAACUGUAGCAGAAAACCUGGAUCUCUUGGCCAGAUUUCUAGAGGCUUGCCCUGAAUGCAUCCGAGAUAUGGCAACUACAAACCAGACUGCUUUGCACAUUGCAACGAGAAACGAUAACUUAGAAGCUCUUGAACUCCUAUGUCGGAUGCUUAAGAAGAGUGACUAUUGUGAGGAUGUGGUGAACCAGAAAGACAGGAAUGGCGACACUGCCUUGCACAUAGCUGCGCGCAAUAAUCGACCCAAGGUCCGAUCUUUUCCCCUCUUAAUUAUUUUUACUUUUACCAAAAAAAGAAUGGAUUCUUUAAUUUGGGAUUGUAUUUCACGGUCAAUUGAUUGGGGCUUUUGUUUGUCUCAAACUCUCUAUCAAACAGAUGCUCAAACUGCUAUUAAAAUGCAAGGCUGAUAAGCUUGCGACCAAUCAGGUUGGUAGGACGGCACUGGCUAUUGCCUGCGAACUUAAUAACAGAGAGAGCAUUAAGAUUCUGCCUGGUUGGCGAAGUGCAAAAGUUUUAAGCUAUCAAUAUAAGAUUCGGAAACAAAUGGUCAAGAAAGUGACAAAGGCAUCGGAAGUAAUUUUUCAAGGUAUGGAUAGUAUAUCAAGCGAGGAUCGCAAUGCUUUACUAGUAAUUUUAGGUUUGCUUCUAACAGCUACCUACCAAGCUAGUAUUAGCCCGCCUGGUAGUGUUUGGCAAGGUGAUGGCUCCUCAAACUCCGAUUCCACUGUAGGCAAAUCAGUCAUGGAUCAAGUUAAUUUUCUUCUUUUCUAUAUUCCAGCCUGUACUGUCUUCAUAGUAGCGUUUUUCCUAACAUUGGGCCUCCUUAGACCUUUCCCCCAUGGUUUCAAGACUGCUCUUCAAGUACUACUUGCAUUUCUUGCUAUAUCUUUCAACGAAGCAAUAAGUUUCAUAGCACCAACUGAUUUAGCGAUUCUAGUUAUCAGUUUGUUUUCAGUGUUGCUUUUUGUUUUAAUGAUGGUCAUGUGUGUUGCUUAUCGGGUAUCAAAAGUUAGCGUUUUAUUUCUAGGAUGCUGGUUAGUGCCUGGAUUGUAUGGCCCAUUUCAGAUAGGAUCUUAUUUAAUUAUAGGGUGUUGGUCAUUUCUUAGUCUAUAUGAUCCAUUCUGGAUAGGAUCCACUGGAAUUGUAGGAUGCAUUUUAGUACUAAAUCGGUUUGAGUACGGCUGGAUGGCAGUUGUUAUAGUGUCAGUACCCAUGGUAUUACUUGCUUGGUUUCUAUUUUGGUUAGAAGUAGUGCAAUGAGAACGUUGGCUGACAUCGCACCCCUUAAGGUAUACGGGCACCGAAUGUGAAUGACGAUCUAAACGAUGGCUGCCCCGGCAUCUAGAUAUUUUCUAUUCCCGGUUUUGUAACUUAUUUGUUGUAUCAUAAUGUACCAUCCAUAAAUUCAAUUCCUCCUGUCUAAAAUCAUCUCCAAUUUUUAGUUUAUCUUUUUAUUGUACUUUAUUUCGCUUAUAAUUUGGGCUGAUAUGUUAUUAGUACUAUUUUUGUUUUAAAUUAAACUUUAGGCUUUCACUUAUCAUAAAAAUUUCAAAAAAAAAGUAUAAUGAUAUUAGCAUUUAUUGUAAAUUAUUUUAUGUAUAGUUUUUUUGUUUUAAAAUUAUGAUUUCAUUGAGAAUGGGAUAACUCUCCAUAGCUAAAACAAAAAUGGGGGGUUUCAAGCCUUUAAGCUUUCUGUCAAUCAUAAUGGCUUAAAGCCACUGCCCUGUAUUUACAAAGAAAGACUAACAGCCGAGCCUGAAAAAAAGGACAAACCUGGUUCCCUAUACAGAAAUAAAAAAAUUUCUUUAUUUAGAUUCGUCGAAAGAGUAUUUAAAUUAAAUUUAAUAUAAUUUUUUUUCAAAAAAUUAUAAAAUAUCAUUAGUAUUAGAAUUGUAUUAUUAUUGUUCAGGAUUUGAGUCUUGUUCAAUAUAGAGCCAAUCCUCAUUUUGAUAUCACUUUUAGUAUGGUGUCAAUCUCUAUCAAUUUAUUAAUAGAAAGGUGAUAUUGAAAAUUGAUAUGUUGUUAGUAUCGCUGGUAGUUACCAUCAGCCAAAAAUUACAUGUGUAAUUGUCUAUGUAAUCAAGUUUUUUGUUAUUUUUUUUUUAAUUUUUUCAUUCUUGAAUUGUAAUUUAACUAAAAUGAUUUAAUUCUAAUUAGAUUAGUGUAUCUUGAUUUAUAUAUCUUGCUGAAAACAGUUCCUUCAAUGCUGUUGUUUUCGCAUUAUAGCAACAAUAAACCGAAACUAAUCUAGCGAUGCUCAUUUCCAUUUUUUUUUUUCAAUUUAGUGUAUUGAUUGAGUCUAGUUUCUUCUUCUCUUGUGUCUAUAUUCUCGCUUUGCACUAUUGCAUGUAUUGUGCACAUUUCUUACAUCUUUGUCACUGUCAAGAGCCGUCACAAGAGGGAGUCUCUUUAUUACUACUUAUACAUUAUUAGUAUUGUUAUUAUUAUUAUUAUUACUAUUAUUUUUAAAACGGUGAGUCCAUGUGCCAGAAAGUAGUACAAAACUUAGCAAUAGAUGCCUCUUUUCUUGGGAAAGACUAGAAAAGACAACUGAAGCUUAACAUCCACCCAUCCACAUACACAUCCACCCAUGUUGAAAAGACAACUGAAGCUUAAUAUUUGGUAAUAAUUAACGCAAGGGACCACAACAUUUGGAUCCAUUUCUUCAAUAGUGCACUGUUUCUAGCUUCAGAUCUACCAUGCACAGCCUUGUAUAAUCUUUGUAAAGUGCACAUUGUACCUUAAUUGACAAGAUGCAUUUUCCUAUCAUUAGCUGCACCGUACCAUAAGAACCUCCUUUGAUUCUAUCGAGGGCUUCCUUCACACUGUAGACACUUAAAUAAAAUUUUUUUAACUAAAUUAAAUAAAAUAAAUUAAAAAAAAAAAAAAAUGGGGAUGGCUGGGCGUACGCCCAGCCAUCCCUUCUCAAUCCCAUCCCCAACCCACUACGUAGGACGGGGGGUUCUGGCCACCAACUCCAGGGGAUGCCAGAACCCCAUCAUCGGGUUGUCCAAAUUUUUGGACAACCCGGCUCCUUAAAGACCCUGCAACCUGCAAAAAGAAAGGGAGAGGACCAAAAAAAGAGAUCUACCAGCAGUUAGCCACAAAAAAGAAAAACAAAAGAGAAAAACAAAACAAAAAAAAAACAAAAAAGAAGAGGGGGGGAGAUCUGAGAAAAGAGAGGAAGAGAGGCCGACGAAAGAGAGGGAUCGGCCGACAGAAGGCGAAGAGAUCCGUCGGGAGAGAGAGAAGAGAGAGAGAGGCUGACGAAAGAGAGGGAUCGGCCGACAGAAGACGAAGAGAUCUGCCGAGAGAGAGAGAAGAGAGAGAGAAGCCGACGGGAAGAGAGGGGAAGAUGUCGACGCCGGCGAAGAGAAGAAAAAACUUUUUAGAGAGAAGGGAGAGGGUGCGGCUAGAGAGAGAAAAAGAAAUGAGAAAAUGAAUAAAAAAGGCUAAAAAAGGGGUUUUUAUACCCAGAGAAAGGAGGACAAAACGGCGUCGUUUCAGAGGGGCAAGCAGAAGCUGAAAGGUCCAGGCCAAACGGCGUCGUUUUGAGUGGCUUUGCAGGCAUCAAACGGUGCGUUUUGGGUCCUACCUCGUGGGCUUCCAGAAGCAGGCCGGGGGUGUUGGACUUGGGCUCUUGCUGGCCACCGAAUUGGGCCAAUAGCAGCCCAACAAGGUAUAACCCUUUUCUUUUGCUUGGGUUUGUUUUAGUUAGUGUUGGGUCUAGCCCAUUUUAAUUAAAAUAUAUUUAUUUAUUUAUUUAUUAUUUUUAUUUUUUUUUUAAAAAAUAUUUAUAUAAUAUGAAUACUUAUAUUUAAUAUUAAAAAAUAAAAAAAAUAAAAUAAAAAAUAAUGAUAGUAAAUAAUGGUAAAAAUGCAUGGCUUAGAAGAACAUAUAUAUAAAAUAAGUAAAUAAAUAAAAAAAAUUCAUAAUAAAUAAAAAAUAAAAAUAAAAAUAAAAUAAAAAAUAAAAAAAAUAUAUAUAAAUAACAACAAUAACAAAUGAAUAAAAAAUAUUUAUAUUAUAAAUAUACUUAGAGGCUNNNNNNNNNNNNNNNNNNNNNNNNNNNNNNNNNNNNNNNNNNNNNNNNNNNNNNNNNNNNNNNNNNNNNNNNNNNNNNAUAUAAAUGGAACAAUUAUUUGAGUAUUACCACCUAAAAGGGGCAAAGAGUUGUCUCUUUCGGGUGGGUCACUUAAGUGCGGAGUUCGAAACGGAUUUUUACCGAAGCGUCGGGAUAAAUCCGAAUUCUAUACUCCUAUACCCAUUAAUCCGAGUAAUUGUUGUUUAAAAUAAUAUAUAUAUAUAUAUAUAAAUAGUAUAUAAUAAUAAAAAAAUAAUAAUAAUAAACAUAACUAAAUAAAUUACCUUAAAUUAUUAAGCAUACCAGUCAACUAAUCAAUAAAUACGAUCAUAUAGAUUCUGUCAUUCUAUACUGUCAUUGCACGCCACUCUUAUUCUGUAAAUGACGCGGGAAUCCCGAUGAUGGGAUUUCCCCGAGGAGCUUGUAGAGACGAGUUCUUUCGGGGAUAUCUCUAGGUGAGGAGAAUUUCGAGACUUCACCAAAGCGUUGGGAUAGUCUUCGAGUAAUUUUCCAAUAAAAGAUUACCGACUCCAUCAUUUAAAAUAAACAAGUCACGACAUCAUUCUACGCUUGCAUCAUAUGCAUACGUAAAAUCAAGCGAAAAACUCAGUCUGGAAAUUCAAUAAAAAUAUAAUUAAUAAAAUAGGGAUUAAACUAAGAAAAGGCUAUAUUAAGAUAACUUAAGAUUAAAUGGUACCGUUCGUAGAACGGGCGUCACGAAAAUGCUAACCCUUCUCCGUGCGUAACCGCACUCCCGAACCCAUCUCUAAAAAACGUGGACCAGUUCUCGUUCUUUCGACGGAUCUAAAAUUAAUUUAGGACUCCGUCGAUUAAGAAUCGGGUUAAUAGGUGAUCAAUCACACCUUAGAUAAAAAAGAUUGGUGGCGACUCCCACAAAAUUUUAAUUUUCGUCCGCGUCCGGCGGACGGGUUCCCGGACCCGUACGUCACGACACACACUACAAGGGAUUUGAAAUAAGGACAUGAAAGAAAUGUGUAAACUUGCCAUAAUAGAUCUUUUCAGCGUGACUCUCUCACUAAUCAACAACAACUUGACUUCCAAGUAACCAAUCUAGAUUCAAAUCUAUCAACGAUGAGCGUCCAAAUCUUCACAACUUUGUCAUUUGCACUUAAAGGUAACCUCAAAUAGGAGUUAGGGAGGUUAUCCACCUUGCAUUGGAUUUUUGAAGCCCAUAAGUCCAAUAACCUUUAUUCAACACCAAUACCAAAAAUUUUACUUUUGUUUUUAAGUUUAUUCUCAGUCCGAAAUCAUUUGAAAUCAUAUUAACACUUUUUUUUACAGUUGGUAAAAGUUUUAAGUCAAAUUUGCAUAAAAUAACUGUAUCAUAUUAUAGAUUGGAUAUCAUCAAAUCAUUAUGUCCAUCUCCAAUGCCCCUAAAGUACCCAUUAGUGGUAACUUUUUUUUGUAACGCUUAGGUUCACAACAAUAUUAAAUAACAUUAUAGAUAAAAGGCAUAUUUGUCAGAGUCCUCUUAUUAUAUGCUUUUUUAAAGUCCAGUAUAAAAAAAUACCCCUCAUACUAUCCUUACUCAUAUGAUUAAUAAUCUCAUUAGCUAUAAGUGAAAAUUUUCUAAUUUAUCUCCCAUUAAUGAAAGCAAAUUGAUUGCAUCCCAUUACCUCCACCGCUGCAAGUCUCAAACGGUUUGCUAAGAUUCUAGCCAGAAUUUUAUACAAACUUUCCACUUGAUUAAUUGGUUUAUAAGUGCUUGACCCCAUAAGACACUCAUGCUUUGGAAAGAGAAUUAUAAAAGAUGAGUUUAUGUAACUAUUAAAAGAACACAAAUUAUGGAAUUCAUGCUAAAAUUUCAUCACUUCCCUCUUUAGAUUGUUCUAUUGAUUUUGGAAGAAGGGCAUAUUAAAAUCAUCUUAUCUUGAUAUUUUUUUUUGUUUGCUUAGUCAACAAAGUUUUUUAUUAAUACCAACAUGUUUUACAAGCUUUGAUAUCCCAAUUAAGAGGGAAUAUCGUUACAAGAACCGUUCCAAACAUUCAUUGAUAGUUUGACCAAAAUCAUCGGUAAGCAACAUAAAAAAUAUCCCAUUUAUCACCAAGUAUAAAAUAACUCAGUUCUUGGUUAACGAAUCUGCCAAGAAAUUUGCUUCCUCAAUUUCCAAUCCCAGACUCAUGGCUAAGCUCUAUAAAUCUGAAACAUUAAUAAUGAUUGUAACUCGGACCAGACUCAAUAUAUCAAGUGACACACGAUGCAUUCCUGGUACUAGUAGGGUUGGAAAUAACAGCAAUCUACCGAGCCAUUUGUAAUAGGCCAGGUGGUGUUCGACAAGCUGAAGCAGGUUCCAGUGAGGUUUCAAGUGGAGCAGGCAAAUCAAUCAUGGAUCCAAAUAGUUUUCUUUUGUUUUAUAUUCCAAACACUACAUAGCAUUUCUCACCACGCUUUUCCUUACGAUUCCAUUUUAAUAAUUGAUCUUUUCUGCGAAGUGGUUCUCUUACCGUUGCUGCCAUUAGUCAUUUGCUAUGUCAUGUCCACGCUAGUCAUAACCCCAACUGCAAAGUUUACUUAUUUCAGUUGGCUUACUUUGGUGCUUGCUGUUGCGUUUUAGUGUUGGUUAUUGAGAGCUUAUCUAUAUCGGUUGGUAAAAAUAAAUACGGUUAAUAGGAGCUCAGGAGAACUCACCGUCUCAGUGUUAUUUUGAAAGGGAUGGAAACAUACACAUCUUUUAGCAUUAGCCUUUGCAUAGAUAGACGUUUUCAACAUAAAAUGUCCAGAUGAAUUGAUUUCUAGAGAAAUAUUCAUCUUCAUACCCCCUGUUGCCAUCCAUGGCAUCCUUUUGCUAAUUAUUUUCAUUUUCAUCAAGAAAUAAAAACGUUAACUUCAAAUACUUGUUCACAAUUAGAUUAACGUCUUGCUUAGGAUUGAACUAAUAGGUUGGCUCAAGUUUUUUUUUUUUUGAUUGAAUGGUUCGAUCUAAUCUAAUUCAAUAAGUUCAAAAAAUUUUGAAAGGUAUUUUUUAAACACAAACACAAAAUCAUUUGUUAAUUAUGUAAGUUGAUAUUAAAAACACAUCACUUACUAUUAUUAUCGUAUAAUUUUUUAAUAAUAGCUUUAUAAGUAUGUAAAAUUAAUCAAAUAUUAAUAUAAAGUUUAUAUCUAAGUAAUAAAUUUUACAUGAUUUUUCCUUAUAAUUAAAAUAUUUAAUAUUAUAGAAAAAUUCUCAUUAACGACCCACUAAGCCUAAGCCAACUGAAAUAUAUAAAGAGACAAGCAUGUUCGUGAUAAAAAUUCACUUUUCUACUCUGUCCUCUGUUCAAUUGAUCCUUGAAGAUGGGAGACACUGAGAGGGAAGAAUGUAGAAGAAGAAAUUUUUUCUUUGUCCUUAUCCAUUGAUUUUUCUACCAAACUUUUAUUGUUAAGUAAAUUUGGAUAAGUUGAGUUCCGACGCUUGAAUAUGAUACAGCCACAAGUGCCAUCCAGCUUUCAAUAGAUAUUUUAAAACCACAAUAAAGUAGAGGCAGCGAGAGUUAUUGUUUCAGUGAAUACUACGUUAUCUCCACGAACUACCAUUUCUGUUCGACUUUAAUUGACUGACACAACAGUGUCCUUGCACCCUCUCUAUACUCUUUUAACCAAUUGCUGUCAGUGGCCUAACGAUUACCUAACAAUUUUUCAUUAUUCUAAGCCUUAUCACCUAACUAUGUUCACUGGAUGGAGGGGGGGAACUGCUCUGCCUUUUUUUUUUAUUAAGUGAAACCAAUCCGAAUGCCUUCAAUGCUCUCUUCGUUAUAUGUGUCUUAAUAUCUUCUUCUAUUUUCAGCACGUCUUUGUAAUUUGGCUCUCCUGAUAUGGAUGAAAGUUUGAAGAUAGCUGCACAAGAAGGAAAUAUUGUUGAAUUAUAUGCAUCAAUCCAAAGAGAUGGAAAUGUUUUGAGGCAGAUUGAUAAGAUGGAGUUCGUUGACACUCCAUUACACAUAUAGCUGCAGCUGAAGGGCGCUUUGAUUUUGCCAUGGAGGCAAUGAUCUUAAAGCCGUCAUUCGCUAGGAAGCUAAACCAAGAAGGCUUAAGCCCGAUUCACCUUGCAGUGGAAAAGGGGCAUAAAGGCAAAAUUUUAAGUUGUUAAUCAAGUCUGACUCAAUCUGAUUCACUUCAAUCUGAUCCACGAACAACCUUCAUUAGAAUUUGAGAUUUUCUCUUUAAUGUCUAGACUUCAAAUUUUAAGACGUAAAAGACAAGAUUACCACAGGAGAAAAAGACAUUUCUUCUUCUGCCAAAAGUGGAACUUAUUUAUAUAUAUAUGUCACCGACCACUAGACAAAGAGUAGAGAAAAUAACAACAUAAUUCCUACUAAAAAUAAGGCAUAUCUGGAAAGGACCAAUAGCAAAAAACAGAGAACAUAUAAGCAUCACACAACAUCACAGAUAUCAGACCAUGAAUCAUUUGACCACCAAGCUGCAAACAUAGAGUCUGUGUCCACUCCAUAUUUAGCUAGAGCAUCGACAAAGGAAUUCGCCUCACACAAAUGAUGGACAAUGGCUACGUCACCGAUGGACUGCAUAAGACAGUCAAUCUCAUUGAAAAUAUGUCAUUUAUCCCACGGUCUCUAUUACUAGCUUCCUAGUACCCGCAAGUGAGGAUGAUGGAAAUAAACGAAGGGCAUAUUUGAGAACCUAGAAUUCAAUAUGUCUUCUCUUGUAAUUUAAAACUAUUAGUGUCUAUAUAUUGCUUGAGAACCAUAAAUUCAUAUAAAAUUGCAGGAUGGGUACACCAACAUUGACUGACCUUGUUGCCUUUUGGGACCAUUUAAUUUUUCAUGGUACAAAUGUAAAGGGUGUCAAAAAUGUUAUCUUUCAAUUACUCUUACCGUACGCUGAGAAAGGUGAAGAAGACACUGUUAUCACUGAUUAGCAAUUUGAUUGGACAUUAUAGAACAGGUUGUAAUGAAAAAGUUAUUUUUCAUUGAGUACAAUGUGGGGUCUACACAUCUCGCUCAGCGCUAUGCUUCAUCAUUGCAGGCAACGCCCCGAAGGGUACGUCAAGGUGCUCUUUAACCAUGACUAAUUGAAGGGACAAUUUUUUUUAUGAUUAGUUGCUUCACUUGCUUCUUCCAGAAUUACGAGUAGAUUGCUCUUGUUUGCUAAUUAUAUAUCGGUUCUGUUUCCUUUCUAUAUUAUCCUCUAUUUCCUUAUGCUUUAAAGUGCACUAAUUUUGUCUUGCAAAUUGCAUUAGUUUUCAGUAGCCUGGAUAUUGCUGCAUAAUUUAUUAUCCCCAGCAUAAUGGAUUGGAGGAUGAGUGAGGCUGCUCAAACAGGAAACAUCAACAGGAUGAGUGAGGCUGCUCAAACAGGAAACAUCAACGUAUUGUAUGCCUUAAUCCAGGAAGAUCCAUAUGUUUUGGAGCGUAUUGAUCAGGUGCCUUUUCUUGAUACACCUUUACAUAUAGCAGCCUGUGCUGGGCAUGUUGAUUUUGUGAUGGAAAUGAUGAACUUAAAGCCAUCAUUUGCAAGAAAGCUAAACCAAGCUGGGUUUAGUCCCAUGCACUUAGCUUUGCAAGAUGAAAAAAUCCAAGCAGUGCUUCGACUCCUAAAGUUUGAUAAAGGCCUUGUUCGUGUCAAAGGGAGGGAGGGCAUGACUCCUCUGCAUCAUGUAGUUGGAACUGGAAACCUUGAUCUAUCGAUCAGGUUUCUUGAGGUUUGCCCCGAGGCUAUUGAAGAUGUGACUGUUCGAGAUGAGACUGCUUUCCAUCUCACAGUCAAAAACGAAAAGUUCGAAGCUUUUGAAGUCUUGAUAGGAUGGCUCCGAAGGAGCCGCCAUGAAGCUGCCCAACAAUGGGAAAACGAGCUACUGAGUUGGGCGGACAUUGAAGGCAACACUAUUCUGCACAUUGCAGCCAUCAGAAAUAGUCCUCAGGUAUGCUACCUAUCUCAAUGACCCCAUUUAUAUGAUGCCAGAGAUCUAGUUUUAUGAAUAUUAAUUUGUUACUUUACCAAUUAUCAGGUUGUAGAAGUGUUGCUGGAAAAUUUGAGUCAAGACCAUAUCAAUUCCAAAAAUUUGGAGGGAUUGACGGCUCUAGAUAUCCUAUUAGAACACCAAAGGAAUGAAAGGCAAGUGGAUAAUAGAGAGAUAAUGGAUAUGUUAAGCACAGCCGGAGGUUUGCGUGGUUCCUCGCUUCCCAAUAAUCCCCACUCUUCCAUCAACGUCAAUUCAUUCAGAUCAAAGAUGUCAUAUUUUCAAAAAUUUACAACAAUCGCAGCUCGUGGAAAGAAGGGUAUCCCAUAUGAGAUGCGUAACGCAUUUCUAGUAGUGACUGUGCUAAUUAUAACAGCCACUUACGAUGCCUUAUUAAAUCCUCCUGAGAAGAGUGACGACGUUUCAUUCCAGAAUUACCAAGUCUCUGGUUCUUACUCAUUUUCGCAGCAAGCAAAUCCUCCUAUGGGUGGCGAUAAUCCUGCGCAGGACAUCACAGAUUUAAUAGAUGCAUCUUCCAUGUUUUGGUUAUACAACACUUUAACCUUUUGGGUGGCACUCGGGUUAACAGCUUAUCUCCUCCCAAGUCGUACAAUCUGUUUGCUUCUUCUCAUAACACUCUCCCUUUUCGGCUCCUGUUACAUGCUUUUAGUAGCUGUCGUCUCAUGGAAACAACAAUUUCUUGUUUCUCUUACACCUUCGCACUUACUGUAUCAUGCUCUCUCCGUUGUGAACUACUGCUUGUCAACGUUAAUAGCUGUCCUGGUGGCGUUUCGGAUCGCCCGUUAUGUUAUCUACAGAUUUGUACCCAGAAAAAAGAUUUUCUGCCUCGUACAAUUUGUUUCCUUCCUGUUUAUAGUUAUAUGUAUUCUUACUCCAACUGUGUUCAAUGUCCAAACCAUGUCCUUUCUGUGGAGUUAGGGGGAUUGUGGUUUUCUGCAAGGCAAAUUCUUUCCUCGAACGUCCCCGCUAAGCCAUGUACUAAUUAUGGGACUUUUAUUGCACCUUGGAUUCUUGAUGUAUCUUCUUAUUUUUUUUCUAAUGAAUUUUUGCAUUUUCUGAGAAAAUAAAAAGGGUUCUUUUCCUAAAUGGGCUCUAUGCAUAAGGUAUUUAUGGGAAUAGAUUUUUUUAUAAUUUUAAUUAUUUUUAGGUAAGAAAUAAAAUGUGAAUAAAAUUGUCCUUAAUGAAUUCGAUUCAUUUGUUAGGGUUUAUGCGUCAAUUCGAAAUUUAUUAAUGGAUCAAAUAUGUUAAUAUGAUCCACAACUCCUCAAUUCUUAUGGACAAAGCGUACAUCUCUUCAAAAGUAAUUCUAUCAAAAACAUUUUUUGUCAAUUUAACUUUCGAGUAUUUUCGCAGUGAUAGGAGCAUUUUGGAGUGGUUAUUAUUUGUAUAAAGGGUUUUCACAUAUUGAGCAAUGAGAGAAAGUUGACAUUACGUAGAGAAAGGUAUAAUAUUAUUUUAUUUUAUUUUAAACCAUGUGAAAAAAUGGUUAUUUUUCAUGUUUAGGGUUUAGAUUUUCGAGCAUAAACCCAUACGUAUUACUUGUUCAUAUUGAUAUUCUUGUUAUUUGAAAUUGUUAAAUAUAAACAUGAAGGUAGUAUUGUUUGUGUUAUUGGGGUGGAAAGAUGAUCGGGUUUGCGUGACUAGUUGAUAUGUAUGUGUUAUGACCCUUUGAUAGGAAUUGGGUUAAGGGUUUAGAUAUUGCGUGACUGAGGGCUUGCUUACGUGGUUGGCACCUUAUGCAUGACUAAAUUAUGGCAUGGGGUCACUUAGGAUUUGCGUGAUUGCAUUAGGUUUUAACAUUACGUGACUGGUUGAUAUGUGACUGUGUGACAUAUUGAUAGGUCAUUGCAUGACAGCAGCCUGACUGGAUUUUGGCAUAGGGUUAGGGUGACUAAUUGUUAUUAGCAUUGCGUGACUUGUUUAUAGAUCAUUGCGUGACUUGUUUAUAGAUCAUUGCAUGAUUUAAUGUUAGUAAUUGCGUGACUAAUUGAUAAUUCAUAACUGCAUGAAAUUUAUGUGUAUGGCAUUGCAUAAUCGACAUUGGGUUCAUUUUGUAUUAUUUUGGGCGAAUAGUAGUGCUUUAAUAUGUAUAUGUUGAUUUACUUAAUAAUCCAUGCUCGACGCUUGCAAUAAUUAUUCUGUAUCAGGGUUGUCUAAAAACAGUUAAUAUUAUUAUGAGGGUUAUUUUUUGAGUGAGCUUCUGAGGAGGGCUAUUUGUCAGAAAUUUCUCUUAUUUUUUUGAUAAUCUACAAUGAUGGUAUUAACAUGACUAAAAUGGGAAUGUUAUAUGUUUUAUGUUGUAGAUGGCCAGCACAAGAACAGAGCAGGAUAAUGUGGAGUCUUUGCUUUGUGUGCCGAGGCAUCGGUGGGGGUUCAAUGCUGGCAUUAACAUCCACUGUAGGUGGUCAUAACUGCACAUGAUAUGUGAAAUGCUAUGUAAAGUAAACGAGUUGGAAAACUUGAAGAGAACAUGCUUCGGGCAUAUGAUAGACGUCGAAUCAGAAAAGAGUUUAUUCUACGUCAGUCUUGUGCACAACCUAAUGUUGCACAGAAACAACAAACCUGAUGCCAUCGAGGGUGAGUUAUGGUUUGUAAUAGGGAAAACGAAGACCCAAUUUUUGAAGAGGGAGUUCUGUUUGGUGACAAGACUGAAGUUGAGUGCCCUACCGACCCUUAUAGUUAAUCCCUACGAGGCCCUCCUUGGAGGAAUUCACCUACGAUAUUAAGGACCGAGAACGAGGUGAAGAUACAACACGUUUUAGAAACGUUCAAGGGAGAGCAAUUUCAACAGGAAAGAGACUCGACCAAGAUGGCCCUCAUCUUGAUCGCGACCAAUUUUUCAUUCGGUGAAGACUACAGACGAUCAGUGGUUACAUGGUUGUUGUUGUUGGUCGAGAACAUCAACGAGUGGAAUGCGUUCUCAUGGGGCACAUACAUUUAAAUUCUGACUGUUGAUUACUUGAAAAGGGGUUUAGAACUUCCUGAGGUGAGCAUACCAGAGAAUAAACGCUACCACCUUUAUGAAUUUAAAUGGACGUUUUAGGUAGUCUGCCAUACCCUAAUGUUUAUAAUUUCUUUUCACAUAAGAAUUUAUGAGGUGAGUGAAAAAUGUUUCACAAUUGAUGUGCAGUUUUAGGUGUUGAAAGCAAUUCUUAAAAUCAGAAGCUUGUUUGGAAAGCAGCGCCAAUCCGGACAGCUUUGGCCAAGAAUGCUGAAAUGGCAUUGUGACGAGAGGCUUACAAGCUUCCAUGCCAAUAUUGCAAGUUUGGAGAGAGAGGGUAAGGCCAGUAAAGAAACUAUUUUUUUAUUUUAUUAAAUUUUAUUUUUAUUAUCAUAGGGUUUAGGGCCACACCUAAUGGCAAUGUAUGUUUUGGUGCAAUUGUGCGCAGUGAGGAUGUUGGAGCCAAUUGUGAAAGAGAUGUUAACUGUACGGUAAGACGAGCUGUUAAGCGAAAAUGCAUCACGGACAAGGACAUCCAUUCGCAGUUCGCUGCCGCUGUGGUUACAAGUGCUAUUGAAGCGCCUGAUUCUCCUGCUGCUGCUCUGCAUGCUGCUUCUCUUACUGCUCCUCUUACUGUUACUAUUGUGACUCCUCACGCUCCUCCUCCUCCUGUUUCUGUUGCUGCACCUCAUCCGUAGGUGUAAAACCCGUCACUGCGUCCACAAAUGACUACGAGCAUUAAACGAGAACUGCAAUAGAUGAAGACAUAAUGGAAGAAGGACCUAUAAUCAUUGUAGAUGGAUUUACAGAUGCAGAUGCAUACAAUGCGGUUAGAGAUCUAGCAGGUAAUGCAGUUAGAGAUCCAGUGAGCGAUGCAAAUGCAGAUGCAGAUAUAGUCACUGCAUCAGCAUAUCUAGCAGUCACUGUAAGGGUUGGAGGAUCAGAUUGUUGGUCGGUUGAUUGACCGUUAUGAGGUAUGAGCUUUUAUGUUUUUCAUCGCGUGAGUUAUAAUAUGUACAAUAUAUGCACUGUUCUAAUGUGUUUGAUUUUUUUAACUGUUUAGGGUCGAUUGAUGGGUGAGGAGGAUGGUGCGCGUGACAGAGAAGGUAGCAGUAUUAAGGUUGAUCUUGAUGAUGCAGGUGGCAUAAAUCAGUCAAUUGCAUCUGCUCGAAACUCACCUCCCGCUGGCCUGAUCGACCAUUAUUCUGCUCUUAUCCCAUCUCCACUAGAGGCAGCCCAACAUUCUCAACGCACACCUUCUUAUGAGGCUCCACCUUCAUUUGAGGUCGAAGAGGCACCUCAUCUUGCUAGUAGUCGAACUACAACUUCCCCGCAUCCUGCUUCUAUCCCAACUCCACCAAAGGUCCCUCUGCAUGGUGAGAUCACACAUUCUCUUGAGGCUCUACCUCGAUCUCAGGCCGAAGAUGCACAUGUGAGCUUAGCCAGCAAAUAUCUACGAAGCUCAUAUGUUAACCCGCUAUUAGUUCAAAGCAAAAUGAAAGAUGAUUUGAAGGACAAAUAUGACUCCUUCAUGAAAAACAAGCAAGCCAAGUAAAAUGAUAACAUUACAUGAUAUUAAGGUUAAUGGUUCUAGGGUAUUUAUUCCAUAGACCUUUUGACGUGAGGGUUAACAUUAUAAAUAUGCAGGGUUAACAUUUUGGGCAUUGAAGGACAUGAAGGCCUUGAUUUUUUCCAGCAAUUGGAGAUGCCAACUGAGUUGCUGGACAGUCAACACAUUGACACAUGCAUCAGUGUGUUGUGAAAGCGGGCGCGCGAGCACCAUCGACAACUCUACAAGCAGAAAAUAUGCAUUGUUGACACCACCUUCUAUGUACGUAUAUUAUAUGUUAAUGAGUUAUAAUUAAUCAAAUGUAUGGGGUAUGUAUUAGUUAAUUGCAUCUAACUAUUAUGCGUAACAUAAUUGACACCUUAUUUUGCUGAGGCUAACCUAAGAAAUGAAUCUUCCCCCUACCGAGAAGACAUUCAAGGCGAGUCAGGCGGUAAUGCCAGACCAUGUGCUUGAAUAUGCGAGGGGUGGGACUCCACCGUGGGGUUUGCCAUGGCAUAAAGUUGACUUAAUUUUCGUAUCGUGCUAUUUCGAUGGCCAUUGGGUGGUAGUGCACAUCAACUUGCUGAGUUGGAGUAUGACAUUAGUGGACUCAUCGUAUAGUCGGACAGAAGUAAUGAUGUUCGAUUUGCAUGAUAAGCAGAUGAGUCCACCAACAACAUUGUUUUCCAUUAUAUGCCACCAGGCCAGGUACUUUGCCAGCUCGUAUUGUUAAAAGCGACUUUUGAUGCGAAUAAGGUAUAAGUUAAAUGCAAAGACCCCGAUACAGAAAAAUUCGCAUAGUUGCAGGGAUUGAGAUAUUGUCUCGUUGCAGUGGUUGAUCGGUUUGGAGGAUUAUACAUUGAAGGCAAACGCCAUAAACGACCUUCGAAAAAAGUUUGCCUUUGAGAUUUUUGUAAAUAGCAACAGUGGUGAAAUUUUUUAAUUUGUUUAUUCUUUUCCAAUAUAUAAAAAACAUUAUUUUGUAUCAUGUCCAUAUUAUUCUUUGUUGUAUCAUUUAUAUAUUUUUUCAUUUUAUAUCAUUAAACAAAAAAGAAAAAAGGCAAUAAGAACAGUUCGGUAUUCAUUGAUUGAUAAGCAUACGAGUCCAAUAAGAACAAUAUUGUUUCUUUCUUAUUCCUAUCUUAAAUUCUGUUAGUAUUUUGUGCAAUUUACAUGCCAGCGUUUAUAAGUUUGCAUAUGCCAACCCCCUUUACUUUUUAUAGCCUAUAUGACAUGUUGAAUUACAUUGCGUGACAUAGGGUUGUAACUAGUUGAUAAUGAAUUGCGUGAAUGGUGGAGAUGGAAUCACGUCAGCAGUUAAUAUUGAUUCGCGCGAGUAUUUGAUAUGAAAUCAUGUGACUACUCAAAUUUGAAUAACGUGAGUAGUUAAUAUGGAAUCGCGUGACUAGUUAUUAUGGAAUCGCAUUACAAGUUGAUAUUGAGUCAUGUGAGUAGUAUCUAUGGAGUAGUAUUAUCAGUUAUUAUGGAAUGAUCUCAGUAUUUAUUAUAAAAUCGCGUGAGUAACAAAUAUGACGUCGUAUGACUGCUUAUUAUGGAAUCGCGUUACUAAUUUAUAUUGAGUCGUGUGAGUAAUAUCUAUGGAGUGACAUUAUCAUUUAUUAUGAAAUUUCGUGACUAAUUGAUAUGAAAUCACUAACUAGUUGAUGUGGAAAUACGUGACUCACUUGGGAACAAGAAGAUUGACUCACUAACAUUGACAAUGGACAGUUUAAAAAUAUAAUCAAUAAAGAAUUUUAGUCAAAACCGAGAUCACUAACAUUUCUGCGCAGAAAGUUUCUUUGACAAAGACAACUCCGCCAAUCAGGCAAGCAAUAAGGUACGUACAAGCAGAUUUGGCCUCACAAAAGCAGAGUAGCACUUCCGCGUUUGACCAAAUUAGGCAAUUUUUCUUACUUGGAAAAUUUCCUUGGAACCUCAAAGAGCACCUCUUAUAGAGUUUGUUUACUAAUUAAGUAUAUCAAACCCUUGAAACACAUAGUCUGCCUGAUCAUUCUCCCAAUUUCCUUUUGUUUAGAGCUCUUGUUAUCCUUGUCAGUAUUCUCAAGAUGGAUGAGUGUUAUGAGAGGCUGCGGGGGGCUGCUCAAGCAGGAAAUAUCGAUGCAUUAUAUGCAUUAAUUCGAGAAGAUGCAUAUCUUUUGGAUGGCAUUGAUCAGAUGCCAUUCUUUGAUACCCCACUGCACAUAGCUGCAGCUGCGGGGCACACUGAUUUUGCCAUGGAGAUAAUGAACUUGAAGCCAUCACUAGCUUUAAAGCUGAACCAUGAUGGCUUUAGCCCUAUUCACCUUGCCUUGCAAAAUGGGCAAAAAGAGACGGUCCUUGAUCUCCUGGGAAUGGAUAAAGAUCUCGUUCGUGUCAAAGGAAAGGAGGGUAAAACUCCUUUGCACUACGUAGUUGGAGAAGCGGACCUCAGUCUUGUAUUCACAUUUCUCU